rnacentral:lncRNA from 1 species
GAGAGUGGACCGCAACACUCCCGAAAGUGAACCGUAACACUACCCAAAGUGAUCCUCAUGAGUUCUUGUUGUCUUUUUUUAUACUUAUUAAUUUUUUACGCGCGUUGACCAAGCGAGUGGACCUUUCAUCGGACAGAAGAACGCACUGCUUCAAACGGAAAACCGCAGUGCAGCAGGCAGUUAAGUGAACUUCAUGAUUUCUUUUUGUCGAACAUGAACUUUCUCCUCACAAGUUUUUGUUGUCUUUUUUUCAACUUUUUUUGAACGAGAGUGGGCCGCAACACUCCCGAAAGUGAACCGCAACACUACCCAAAGUGAACCUCAUGAGUUUUUGUUGUCUUUCUUUUAGUACUUAUUAAUUUUUUACGCGCGUUGACCAGGUGAGUGGACCACAGGGACUGAGCGAGUGAACUACAUCUAAUAUAGAAGCGAGCUUCAUUUUGAGAUCUUUUUUGUUUUGUGUUUACCAAGUGGACAACAGAGGAGUUUUACAUACAAAAUCUGCACUCUCCACCAGCAAAAUCACGGUAGUGAGCUGUAGUUUUUACAAUGAACUAAUGAAGUGCACUUUUCAACAAAAACAAAAUUGAGUAAUGGGGCAUCCAAUAGAACUGCAUCACUUCAUCUUUUCCUGCAAUAAUGAGUAAAAUGAACCUCAAUAGCAAACCAUAGCGGACUUCGUUUGCACUUUUUUUCUCUUCAGAAAUCACAAAGUCAGUGAAGUGCAGAAGAGCACUGCCGAACAACAUGGCAUGCCUAGUCCUACUGCAUAGUGGAGGCCACCAAACUGCCUGGGGAGUCGUCUGCUCGCCCGUCGGUGGAGAAGCAGAGUACCUCCCUCUCGUAGUUGCUAGCCUGCGCUAGACCAGAGCCUCCCCCGACGCCUGCGCGUGUAGUAGCCGCCGGUGGGUGGAGUUUGGCAGCGGCGAGGGAGAGAGCAUAGAUCCGUCCCCUGGCGUAGCGGUGGCCGAGGGAUCCCAGCCAUGGUUGUCGUGGCCUCCCCGCCCUGCUGCCUGCACUAGAAAAUGAUUUUUUUUCAGUGAAUCACAUAGCGAACUGCAAGAAAGGAAGAGAGAAUCAGGGCACUACUAGAUGCUUUGUUGUUCGAAGAAGAAUAGAAGGAAGAAGGGCGCCUUGAUGGUAAACAUCGUCGCAAAUCUCGCCUGAAAGGUGGAGCUGGAGAGGAUCCCACCGGAGGUAUGGACUGCGCGCGGGAGGGACCGGAGAGGAUGCAAGGGAGGCUCGGCCGCGGUCGGUUCCAGGCGGCGGGGGAGUGGUUCGCGUCAUGGCCGCACCGCGCCGCGGGGGGAGGGGGGGCUAGCGGCCGAACCAUGGUGGCUCGCUGUGGUUCGGAUCUAACAACGAGGGGCCUCGUCGGAGGUUGCGGCGCUCGCACCAGCGUGGAGGGGUCGUGGCCGCUUUGGAUCCGGCGUAGGGGAGGGUGGGGCGGCACUGGAAAGGCCGCGGCCGCAUCGGAUCUGGUGAAGGGGAGGGUGGGACGGCGNNNNNNNNNNNNNNNNNNNNNNNNNNNNNNNNNNNNNNNNNNNNNNNNNNNNNNNNNNNNNNNNNNNNNNNNNNNNNNNNNNNNNNNNNNNNNNNNNNNNNNNNNNNNNNNNNNNNNNNNNNNNNNNNNNNNNNNNNNNNNNNNNNNNNNNNNNNNNNNNNNNNNNNNNNNNNNNNNNNNNNNNNNNNNNNNNNNNNNNNNNNNNNNNNNNNNNNNNNNNNNNNNNNNNNNNNNNNNNNNNNNNNNNNNNNNNNNNNNNNNNNNNNNNNNNNNNNNNNNNNNNNNNNNNNNNNNNNNNNNNNNNNNNNNNNNNNNNNNNNNNNNNNNNNNNNNNNNNNNNNNNNNNNNNNNNNNNNNNNNNNNNNNNNNNNNNNNNNNNNNNNNNNNNNNNNNNNNNNNNNNGGGACGGCGCGAGGCAGGCUGGGGCGCGAUGGCCGGCGGCGUCGUGGCUCCGGGCGCAGAGGAAGGUGGCAGGAGGGGACGGUGGUUGGGUUAUGGGCAAUGGGUCGGGGGAGGAAGAAGGUUGGAGGUGGGGCAUGGACACGGGGAGCGGGAGGAGGUGGAGGGAUCGAGGCUGGAGUGGGGGAGAUGGGCCGGUGGGGUGGGUUUUUUUGGUGCAUGCAGUUUGCGCCGGGUCGAUUGAGUGGGUUAGGUGGGGUGUUAGCGGAAUAACGAAUUUGUUAGCAGAAUAAGGCUCUUAAGGGUGUUAUUAGAAUAGACCCACCCUAUAUAUAUAUCUCAAAAGACUAAAUCAACGUUGAGAAGAUAAACCAUGAAGAUAAAUCAAUGUUGAAGACAAACCAAAUGCGAAGUUAAUGCAAUCAUGACGCCAAAAGAAAAUCUUCGAGAAAGUUUGGUGGUGGCGUUACCCACCGUAUAAGAAGUAUUUGACCCAGACACGGCGCACAAUUAUCAUGGCGCUCCAAAGUCAAAUUCCACAUUAAUGUAUUCACACUUAGCGUGUAUGUCUUCAUUGAUUGAAGAUAUACGUUACUCUGUGUGUUGCACAUUUAAGUCAUCAACAUGCAUCAGCGUUAGGAUGUGUGUCCAAUCACAGGACAUUUGAGAAUUCUAAGAUAUUUAGCUCACACCGCAACUUGCAAAACCUUUUCUCAUCUAAGGGCUUUGUGAAGAUAUCUGCCAAUUGCUCUUCAAUGUUGACGUGAAUGAUAUCAAUAUCUUCCUUCAUGACAUGAUCUCUGAGAAAGUGAUAGCGGAUCUGAAUGUGCUUUGUCUUCGAGUGUUGAACUAGGUUGUUGGCAAUCUUGAUGGCGCUUUCAUUGUCGCAGUAGAGUGGCACAUGCUUCAGGUGGAUGCCAUAGUCCUUGAGAGUUUGCUUCAUCCAUAGAAGCUGAGCGCAACAAGAUCCAGCAGCAAUGUAUUCAGAUUCAACAGUAGAGAGGGAUACACAAUUCUGCUUCUUUAAAGACCAACAGAAAAGAGAUCGUCCAAGAAAGUGACAUGUUCCUCAUGUGGACUUGCGAUCAACCUUGUCACCAGCAUAAUCAGCAUCUGAGAAUCUAACUAGAUCAAACCCUGAGCCCUUUGGAUACCAUAAUCUUAGUGUUGGGGUGUAAGCCAAAUAUCGAAGAAUUCGCUUCACAGCUAAGUGAUGUGAUUCCUUUGGUGCCGCUUGAAAUCGAGCACACGCAAACGCUAAGCAUUAUAUCUGGCCUAGAUGCACAUAAAUAGAGUAAAGAACCAAUCAUGGAGUGGUAUACCUUUUGAUCGAACUCUUUACCAUUGUCGUCGGGACCCAAUUGACCUUUGGUUGGCAUUGGCGUCGUGUACCCUUUGCAGUCUUGCAUUCCAAACUUCUUCAAGCAAUCUUUGAGAUAUUUUUCUUGUGAAAUGAAGAUGCCAUUGCUCUGCUGAUGGAUUUGAAGACCGAGGAAGAAUUUCAGCUCACCCAUCAUGGACAUCUGAUAUUGCUCUUGCAUCAUAUGCCCAAACUCAUCACUGUAUCUCUUGUCAGUGCAGCCGAAGAUAAUGUCAUCCACGUAGAUUUGGCAUACAAACAGUUCACCAUCAUAUGUCUUCGUGAAGAGAGUGGGAUCUAGAGAACCAGGUUUGAAGCCUUUGCUCUUCAGGAAGUCUUUGAGUGUGUCAUACCAAGCUCGAGGUGCUUGUUUGAGGCCAUACAGUGCCUUGUUGAGCUUGUAUACCAUGUCAGGAUGCUUUGGGUCUUCAAAGCCAGGUGUUUGAGCAACAUACACUUCUUCUUCAAUUUUUCCGUUGAGAAAGGCACUCUUUACAUCCAUUUGGUACAGAAGAAUGUUGUUGUGGUUGGCAUAGGCUAGCAGAAUGCGAAUAGCUUCAAGCCUAGCCACAUAAGCAAAUGUUUCAUCGAAGUCAAUCCCUUCAACUUGAGUGUAACCUUGAGCAACAAGACGAGUUUUGUUUCUGACAACUUGACCAUGCUCAUCUUGUUUGUUGUGAUAGAUCCAUUUGGUGCCAAUGAUAUUGUGCUUGCGAGGAUCAGGACGCUUUACUAGUUCCCAAACAUUGUUCAGCUCAAACUGUUGAAGCUCUUCUUGCAUAGCUUGAAUCCAUUCAGAUUCCAUGAAGGCUUCAUCAACCUUCUUGGGUUCAGAUAUAGAGACAAAUGCAAGGUGCCCACAGAAAUUUGCUAGCUGUGUUGCUCUUGAGCGACCAGGUGCAUUGAUGCUAUCAAUUAUCUUCUCAAUUUGUACUUCAUUUGCAACUCGAGGAUGAACUGGACAAAGAUUUUGCCCUUGCUGAUCAUAAUCUUCAUCUUCAGCAUCGACUUCAGGCUGAGCAGUGUCUUCGGGUUGAUUAGGUGCAGAAAUGAUGAUUUCCUCUUCAGCCUGUGCCUCUGAAGGUAUGAUUUCUCCAGUACCCAUAAGCUUGAUAGAUUCACUUGGUGAGGCUUCAUCUAGCACAUUUGGCAGGUGCUCUCUUUGCGAGCCGUUAGUCUCAUCGAACCGCAGAUCCACAGUUUCAACCACUUUAUAGUGAAAGAGGUUGAAGACUCUGUAGGAGUGCGAAUCCUUUCCGUAGCCAAGCAUAAAACCUUCAUGUGCUUUCGGUGCAAAUGAAGUGUGAUGUGGAUCCUUGAUCCAGCUGAAGGAAAUAUGCCCUAGAGGCAAUAAUAAAGUUGUUAUUUAUAUUUCCUUAUAUCAUGAUAAAUGUUUAUUAUUCAUGCUAGAAUUGUAUUAACCGGAAACUUAGUACAUGUGUGAAUACAUAGACAAACAGAGUGUCCCUAGUAUGCCUCUACUAGACUGGCUCGUUAAUCAAAGAUGGUUAAGUUUCCUAGCCAUAGACAUGUGUUGUCAUUUGAUGAACGGGAUCACAUCAUUAGAGAAUGAUGUGAUGGACAAGACCCAUCCGUUAGCUUAGCACUAUGAUCGUUUAGUUUAUUGCUAUUGCUUUCUUCAUGACUUAUACAUGUUCCUAUGACUAUGAGAUUAUGCAACUCCCGAAUACCGGAGGAACACCUAGUGUGCUAUCAAAUGUCACAACGUAACUGGGUGAUUAUAAAGAUGCUCUACAGGUGUCUCCGAUGGUGUUUGUUGAGUUGGCAUAGAUCGAGAUUAGGAUUUGUCACUCCGAUUGUCGGAGAGGUAUCUCCGGGCCCUCUCGGUAAUGCACAUCACUAUAAGCCUUGCAAGCAAUGUGACUAAUGAGUUAGUUGCGGGAUGAUACAUUACAGAACGAGUAAAGAGACUUGCCGGUAACGAGAUUGAACUAGGUAUGGUGAUACCGACGAUCGAAUCUCGGGCAAGUAACAUACCGAUGACAAAGGGAACAACGUAUGUUGUUAUGCGGUUUGGUCGAUAAAGAUAUUCGUAGAAUAUGUAGGAGCCAAUAUGAGCAUCCAGGUUCCGCUAUUGGUUAUUGACCGGAGAUGUGUCUCGGUCAUGUCUACACAGUUCUUGAACCCGUAGGGUCCGCACGCUUAACGUUCGGUGACGAUUUGUAUUAUGAGUUUAUGUGAUUUGAUGUCCGAAGAUUGUUCGGAGUCCCGGAUGAGAUCACGGACAUGACGAGGAGUCUCGAAAUGGUUGAGACAUAAAUAUUGAUAUAUUGGACCAUGUUAUUCGGACACCGGAAGUGUUCCGGAUAGUUUCGGGUAAAACUGGAGUGCCGGAGGGGUUACCGGAACCCCCCGGGGGAACUAAUGGCCCCCCUUGGAGUCCGAAUUGGACAAGGGAAGGGGGCGGCACUCCCCUUUCCUACUCCCUCUCCCUCUCCUUCCUUCCCCCUCUCUCCCUCUUGGUGGAAUCCUACUAGGAAUUGGAGUCCUAGUAGGACUCCCCUCCUUGGGCGCGCCCCCUAGGGCUGGCUGGCCUCCUCCCUCCCUCCUUUAUGUACGUGGGGAGGGGGGCACCCUAGAACACACAAGUUGAUCUUUUAGGCAUGUGCAGUGCCCCCUCCACAGAAACACACCUCGGUCAUAUCGUCGUAGUGCUUAGGCGAAGCCCUGCGCCGGUAACUUCAUCAUCACCGUCACCAUGCCGUCGUGCUGACUAAACUCUCCCUCGGCCUCAACCAGAUCAAGAGUUCGAGGGACAUCACCGAGCUGAACGUGUGCAGAUCGCGGAGGUGCCGUACGUUCGGUACUUGGAUCGGUUGGAUCGCGAAGACGUUCGACUAUAUCAACCGCGUUACUAAACGCUUCCGCUUUCGGUCUACGAGGGUACGUGCACACACUCUCCCCGCUCGUUGCUAUGCUUCUCCUAGAUAGAUCUUGCGUGAUUGUAGGAAUUUUUUUGAAAUACUACGUUACCCAACAGUGGCAUCCGAGCCAGGUUUAUGCGUAGAUGUCAUAUGCACGAGUAGAACACAAAGAGUUGUGGGCGAUAAUAGUCAUACUGCUUACCAGCAUGUCAUACUUUGAUUCGGCGGUAUUGUUGGAUGAAGCGGCCCAGACCGACAUUACCUGACCGCGUUCAUGAGACUGGUUCUACCACCGUGCUUCGCACACAAGUGGCUAGUGGGUGUCUGUUUCUCCAGCUUUAGUUGAAUUGAGUUUGACUACGCCCGGUCCUUGUUGAAGGUUAAAACAGCACACUUGACGAAAAAUCAUUGUGGUUUUGAUGCGUAGGUAAGAACGAUUCUUGCUAGAAGCCCGUAGCAGCCACGUAAAACUUGCAACAACAAAGUAGAGGACGUCUAACUUGUUUUUGCAGGGCUUGCUGAGAUGUGAUAUGGUGAAGACGUAUGAUAUAUAAAUUGUUGUAUGAGAUGAUCAUGUUUUGUAACAGUUAUCGGCAACUGGCAGGAGCCAUAUGGUUAUCGCUUUAUUGUAUGAAAUGCAAUCGCCAUGUAAUUGCUUUACUUUAUCACUAAGCGGCAGCGAUAGUCGUAGAAGAAAUAGUUGGCGAGACGACAAUGAUGCUUCGAUGGAGAUCAAGGUGUCAAGCCGGUGAUGAUGGUGAUCAUGACGGUGCUUUGUAGAUGGAGAUCAAAGGCACAAGAUGAUGAUGGCCAUAUCAUAUCACUUAUUUGAUUGCAUGUGAUGUUUAUCUUUUUAUGCAUCUUAUUUUGCUUAGUACGUCGGUAGCAUUAUAAGAUGAUCUCUCACUAAAUUUCAAGGUAUAAGUGUUCUCCCUGAGUAUGCACCGUUGCGACAGUUCGUCGUGCCGAGACACCACAUGAUGAUCAGGUAUGAUAAGCUCUACGUUCACAUACAACGGGUGCAAGCCAGUUUUGCAGACGCAGAAUACUCGGGUUAAACUUGACGAGCCUAGCAUAUGCAGAUAUGGCCUUGGAACACUGAGUCCGAAAGGUCAAGCGUGAAUCAUAUAGUAGAUAUGAUCAACAUAGUGAUGUUCACCAUUGAAAACUACUCCAUCUCACGUGAUGAUCGGACAUGGUUUAGUUGAUAUGGAUCACGUGAUCACUUAGAUGAUUAGAGGGAUGUCUAUCUAAGUGGGAGUUCUUAAGUAAUAUGAUUAAUUGAACUUUAAUUUAUCAUAAACUUAGUACCUGAUAGUAUUUUGCAUGUCUAUGUUGUUGUAGAUCAAUGGCCCAUGCUAUUGUUCCGUUGAAUUUUAAUGUGUUCCUAGAGAAAGCUAAGUUGAAAGAUGAUGGUAGCAACUACACGGACUGGGUCCGUAACUUGAGGAUUAUCCUCAUUACUGCAUAGAAGAAUUACGUCCUGGAAGCACCGCUAGGUGCAAGACCCGCUGCAGGAGCAACACCGGACGUUAUGAAUGCCUGGCAGAGCAAAGCUGAUGACUACUUGAUAGUUCAGUGUGCCAUGCUUUACGGCUUAGAACCGGGACUUCAACGACGUUUUGAACAUCAUGGAGCAUAUGAGAUGUUCCAGGAGUUGAAGUUAAUAUUUGAAGCAAAUGCCCGGAUUGAGAGAUAUGAAGUCUCCAAUAAGUUCUACAGCUUCAAAAUGGAGGAGAAUAGUUCUGUCAGUGAACAUAUACUCAAAAUGUCUGGGUACCACAAUCACUUGACUCAACUGUGAGUUAAUCUUCCGGUUGAUAGUGUCAUUGACAAAGUUCUUCAAUCACUGCCACCAAGAUACAAAAGCUUCGUGAUGAACUAUAAUAUGCAAGGGAUGGAUAAGACAAUUCCCGAGCUCUUCGCGAUGCUAAAGGCUGCGGAGGUAGAAAUCAAGAAGGAGCAUCAAGUGUUGAUGGUUAACAAGACCACUAGUUUCAAAAAGAAGGGCAAAGGGAAGAAGGGGAACUUCAAGAAGAACGGCAAGCAAGUUGCUGCUCAAGUGAAGAAGCCCAAGUCUGGAUCUAAGCCUGAGACUGAGUGCUUCUACUGCAAAGGGACUGGUCACUGGAAGCGGAACUGCCCCAAGUAUUUGGCAGAUAAGAAGGAUGGCAAAGUGAAAGGUAUAUUUGAUAUACAUGUUAUUGAUGUGUACCUUACUAAUGCUCGUAGUAGCGCCUGGGUAUUUGAUACUGGUUCUGUUGCUCAUAUUUGCAAUUCGAAACAUGGGCUACGGAUUAAGCGAAGAUUGGCUAAGGACGAGGUGACGAUGCGCGUGGGAAAUGGUUCCAAAGUCGAUAUGAUUGCCGUCGGCACACUACCUCUACAUCUACCUUCGGGAUUAGUUUUAGACCUGAAUAAUUGUUAUUUGGUGCCAGCGUUAAGCAUGAACAUUACAUCUGGAUCUUGUUUGAUGCGAGACGGUUAUUCAUUUAAAUCAGAGAAUAAUGGUUGUUCUAUUUAUAUGAGUAAUAUCUUUUAUGGUCAUGUACCCUCGAUGAGUGGUUUAUUUUUAUUGAAUCUCGAUAGUAGUGAUAUACAUAUUCAUAGUAUUGAAGCCAAAAUAUAUAAGUUUAAUAAUGAUAGUGCAACUUAUUUGUGGCACUGUCAUUUAGGUCAUAUUGGUGUAUAGUGCAUGAAGAAACUCCAUACUGAUGGGCUUUUGGAAUCACUUGAUUAUGAAUCACUUGAUACUUGCGAACCAUGCCUCGCACUACUGGAAUCAGCUUCUUUGCCGUCUGCCAUGAUCCCGGACGGCAAACUUCUUUGCCGUCUGUCAGCAGACGGCAAACUGUCCGUCUGAACACAUGCCAGCAAAGGCCUUCUUUGCCGUCUGCUUCCUAGAAACGGACGGCAAAGGAUUGUGCCGUCCGCCAUCCGAGGCCAGCAGACGACAAAGAUAACGGACGACAGUGGGGUGGGGUGAGAGCCGUUAGGGGGUUAACGGCGCUCUUUGCCAUCCGCUGACAGACGACAAAGAGGUCAGCCAGGCCAGCACUGGGAAGCUGCCACGUGGCCAGCUAUGCCGUCUGCCAGCGGACGGCAAAGACCUUUGAAUCUUUGCCGUCUGCUGGUGGACGGCAUAGCUGGCCCUAUUUGCCAGGCCUAUUUGGUCACUUUGCCGUCUGCCAGCAGACGGCAGAGAUUCAAAGGUCUUUGCCGUCCGCUGGCAGACGGCAAAGUACCCAAAUAGGCAGCCAGUGUUCCCAGUUUCUACAGGUAGCUGCCACGUGUCCUCUUUGCCAUCUGCCAGCAGACGGCAAAGCUCUUUGCCGUCCGCUAGCAGACGGCAAAGAGGCUAUAUAUCCCCUGUUUUUAUUUAUAUCCAUUUAAUUUCACAGGAAUUCACACACAGAUAUACAUAUUUUUUUUCACAGGCACAACAGACAUAUGAUGUAUCCAACACAUAGCUCCACCCAUGACAACAUACAUACAUAAGAAACACAGUUCCAUACAUACAUAUUACAGUAAUAUCACAAUGUUCAUCCAACACAUUGUUCCAUGCAUCCAUAUAACAAGUUCCACAUUUUUCAUCGAUACAAACGAAAAGAAGAACAGGGAAACAAGCACUCCAUCCAUGCAAGCUUCCAUAUAGUGAAUUAAAUCUGCAAAAUGGGAAACAAGAAAGUUAGAAGAACAAGACUAGAAUCAGAAGAAUAAGAAAAUGAAUAAGAAGAAGAAGAGGAAGAAGGAGAAGUUAGCAUACUUAGGUAAAAUGGAAACCUAGCUAAUUAUGCCGUUUUUGAGUGAACUAAGCAUAUUAUGGCCUUUUUGAUAUAAAGCAGCUUAGUAUAGGUCUUUAUUGAGUUAACCUAGGUAACUAAGCAUAUUAGAGCUAACUUCAUUUUGGAGAAGAAGAAGAAUGUAAGCUCAAAAAUGAAAUUUUUUCUUCUUAUUUAGCCUAUUUAGUCCAUUUAUGACAUAAUUUAGAUAGGCUAAAUUAUGUCAUAAAUGGACUAAAUAGGCUAAAUAAGAAGAAAAAAUGCCAUUUUUGAGCUUACCUAGCUAAUUAUGCCAUUUUUGACCUAACUAAGCUUUUUGUGUCAUUUUAGAGGACAACAAGCUAAGUAUAUGACAUUUAUGAGGUUAGCAAGGUUAUUAUGCCAUUUACGAAUAAAAACAAGUAAGAGGAGGAAAAGAAGAAGAAGAGUCUUCUUCUUCUUCUUCUUCUUUUCUUCCUAUUCUUCUUCUUCUAGUCUUCUUCUUCUUCUUCUUCUUCUUCUUCUUCUUCUUCUUUUCUUCCUAUUCCUUCUUUUCUUCCUCUUCCUUGAUUUUCUUCAUCUUAUUAUGUCAUUUGUAGACUAAAUAGGCUAAAUUAUGUCAUAAAUGGACUAAAUAGGCUAAAUAAGAAGAAAAUGCCAUUUUUGAGCUUACCUAGCUAAUUAUGCCAUUUUUGACCUAACUAAGUUUUUUGUGUCAUUUUAGAGGACAACAAGCUAAGUAUAUGACAUUUAUGAGGUUAGCAAGGUUAUUAUGCCAUUUACGAAUAAAAACAAGUAAGAGGAGGAAAAGAAGAAGAAGAAGAGUCUUCUUCUUCUUCUUCUUCUUCUUCUUCUUCUUUUCUUCCUAUUCCUUCUUUUCUUCCUCUUCCUUGAUUUUCUUCAUCUUAUUAUGUCAUUUGUGGACUAAAUAGGCUAAAUUAUGUCAUAAAUGGACUAAAUAGGCUAAAUAAGAAGAAAAAUGCCAUUUUUUAGCUUACCUAGCUAAUUAUGCCAUUUUUGACCUAACUAAGCUUAUUGUGUCAUUUUAGAGGACAACAAGCUAAGUAUAUGACAUUUAUGAGCUUAGCAAGGUUAUUAUGCCAUUUACGAAUAAAAACAAGUAAGAGGAGGAAAAGAAGAAGAAGAAGAAGAAGAAGAAGAAGAAGAAGAAGAAGAAGAAAAAGAAGAAGAAGAAGAAUCUUCUUCUUCUUCUUCUUUUCUUCCUAUUCCUUCUUUCCUUCCUCUUCCUUGAUAUUCUUCAUCUUAUUAUGUCAUUUGUGGACUAAAUAGGCUAAAUUAUGUCAAAAAUGGACUAAACAGGCUAAAUAAGAAGAAAAAUACCGUUAUCACGGAGGUGUAGGAAUGGUCGAGGCUCCACCAGUGGCAGACAGAGGUGAAGGACCGGUCGGGGUUCCGCUAUUGGUAGACGCAGAAGGAUUGGUCGAUGCUUGUCGGGAGCCAUGCUGCACCAAAGAUCAUUUCCAAUAAUGUCUUGUUAGCAUGAUGCAAACUGAAAUGUGAAUACUAGUAACUAACGACCAUUCAAAUCAAACUCACCGUGGUCGCCGGAGCAAUCUGGGGCAUCGGCGGAGGGGCCUGACCGUUUUUCUCGCACAUGGUCUGCACUUUGGUUCUCACGAGUCAGUCAUAUUAGUUAGUAAUGCGAACAUUACGUGCAUGAUUGGGCUAAUAUGCAUGAGAAACGUACCACGAUGAGCUCGUAUAGGGCCCGGUUAGACGCCUCGUUCCGGUUUCUCUCCUCCUCCAACAGCUUAGCCGUCCUCUCCUCCAUCUCCCUCUCCCUCUCCGCCGCCUCUCUUUUUGCCUCCUCCAAAAGCGCCCGGGUCUUCAAUCUCUCUUUCUCAACCAAUGCCUACAACACACCACUCCUCGUUAGCAUUGUAAUCAUCGACGGACGCACACACAAUGUAAUGGAGGAAAGGUGAGAGAGUCCAUAGAACUAACCGCCAUGGCGAGCUCCGCGGGCCGUGCACGAGGCGUUAUCCUAGGAUCAGAGCUACUCAGGCGCUUCUUGAUCUGCGGGAGAGUCCUAGGACAACGUAUCAGUCCAUCACCAAUGGCUUGAGAGCCAUGGGACCUCCCGCCACCAGAUAUCAUCACCAACUCUGUAUCAAAAGGAUCCUGGCUCGGGUUAAAGUCCUCCCCUUUCCUCGCCUUCCCCUUGUCUCUAUACUUCACAAGCUUGUGGUGGGAGGAGAUGUUGGUGAAGCUCUCUGGAUGAUCUAGGUCAGACUCCGUAAAUGGCUUGGCCUUCUUGUACGGGGCCAUAUGGGCCAUGCCAUAGAGGUCGAACAGAUUUGGCACAGGCUUCUUGUGGUGGUGCGCCUGAGAGAGAGGAACAAAAUAUUAGUUAAGGGCUCAAGCUAGCAUGAAGAAUGAUAUUGCUAUGUAAAUAGGUCAUUUUGGAGCUAAGAAAGGUUAUUAUGUCAUUUUCGAGGAAAAUAAGCUAAGUUUAGGCCAUUUUCGAGGUAACCAAGAUUAUUAUGCCAUUUUUGACCAAAGUAUGCUAAUUAUGUCAUUAUUGAGCUAUCCAAGGUAGUUAUGCCAUUUUUUAGCUAACUAAAGCAUAUUUAGGCAUUCUAUAGAGCUAUCUAAGGUUAUUAUGCCAUUUUAGAGCUAAUUAUGUCAUGAAUGAACUAGCUAAGAUUAGUUUAGGUCGUUAUUGAGCUAUCAAAGGUAGUUAUGCCAUUUUUUAACUAAAGCAUAUUAAGUCAUUUUAUAGAUCUAUCUAAGGUUAUUAUGUCAUUUUAGAGCUAAUUAUGUCAUGAAUGAACUAGCUAAGAUUAGUUUAGGUCGUUAUUGAGCUAUCGAAGGUAGUUAUGCCUUUUUUUAACUAACUAAAGCAUAUUAAGUCAUUUUAUAGAGCUAUCUAAAGUUAUUAUGUCAUUUUAGAGCUAAAUAUGUCAUAAAUGAACUAUCCAAGGUAGUUAUGCCAUUUUUAACUAACUAAGCAUAUUAAGUCAUUUUGGAAGGGAUAAAUGCUAGCAUGAAGAAUGAAAUUGCAUGAAUCAUGUAGCAAACCACAUACCCAGUUAUCCCCGUACUCAAACAGGUUGGAGCCCCCUUGAUGGUGUGGCACACCUUCCAUUUGGUCGCGCUUAUCCUUGGCCCUAUGGUGUUCGACUAGCCAUUGGGGAGAGCACCACGCAUCCACCAACGCCUCCCAACAGUCCAUCUUAUCCACACACCAUCUCGGGGGCACCUAAGUGAGUCAAGAGAAAUUUCUGCGCUAUGCCUAUGAAUCAAAUCAAGAAAACUAAGUUCAAGGCCUUAAGAAUAGGUAAUUACCUACAUGUACUUCUCCUUACUCAGAAACUUGCCGCAACACUUCUUCUUGACCCUCCUAAUACCCUUCGAGGUGUAGUAGUCUCGAACGGCCUGCACCCGAGCCUCGUGCCGUAAGUUCUGAAGUAGGCGCUUGCACUCGGUUUCGACAACCAUAGACGCGGCCUCCUGCUCUCCCUCUGAAACCCUGUAGAAGGUCUGCAAUCAAACAAGACAACACUGAUUAGUACAAUCACUAGGUAGUGUUGAUUUUUAAUUCUGUAAAGGAGAAAGUACCCAAAACCGACGGAACACAAUGUCGGCCACCGUCUCGCACAAGACACCGUCGACCCUCUCCUCCGGCAGGGCCGGGACAACCGAGUAUAGCUUCCAGGUCAGUGCUAGCUGUGGAACCUGACCCUCACUGGGCAACGUGACCCACCCAGGGAAGUGCUGCCGGCAAAGCACACCAAGGACCUGGUUGGGCCUGCGGACACCACGGGGGUGUACUCAGCCCCUGCAAUAUGACAAGGCCAACGCAUUAGAUAUUAAUUUGAAGGAACAUGAAUGCAAAAGGUUAAAAAAAUAGUAAAUGCACUUACUUCAACCCUUUAGGCACAAUCAACCACCUCUGGUCGGGGGUCGUCGGCACGGGCGGGAGCUUUGUAUAGCCACGCCUGUAGACCUUCUUGCCCUUCUCAACCAGCUUGUCGUCGCUGUAGCUAUCAUGUGAAAAGGUGUCCUUGCUACCAUUAGUAGGGCCACUAGCCUCCGGAGUCUCGUGGGAAGAAUACUGCGGGAUCAGAGCCUUCUGGGACAAAGACUGGUUGGCAUCAUCAUCAUCACUUUCAGUGACGUGCUCAUCAUCAUCAUCAUCAAUAAAUGCAUCAACAUGUGGAAGGCCUCCUUUACGUAAUCGUUCAAGCAUUGACAGGUCAUCUGCAGCAGUAACUUCUUCUUGUUCUGGCUCAGGGUUGAAGUCAGAUUCACUAUCGUUGUCUACUUCAAUGUUCUGGGGUGGAGUAGAGCGGUUCUUGAAACAUUUUUUUGGAAAGACGUGUUUCUUGGAAGAGUUCUCCUUCAUCAUAUGUGUCUUGGUUAAUGUGAGGUUCAUAAUCCUCUUCAUUGGGGGGAGGUGGUCUAACAUGUGGCGGCAUUUCAUAAACGACAUCCCAACCACUGAGAUUUGGAUCACUUUGAUAGGCCCACGGUAGAUAGAAAACUUGGGUUGCCUGUUGAGCCAUAAUAUAGACAUCGGGAACAUCCAAAUGAGUGCUUUGUUUGAUUUCGACUAGCCCUAUAUGUUCAUGAGGCCUUCUAGUCUCCCUCGGCUGGAACCAAUAACAUCUGAAGACUACGACGUUUGGUGGGUUUUCACCAUAGAAUUGAAGUUCAUAAAUUGCUUCAACUCUUCCAUAAUACUCGAUAUCUCUUUCACCGAUAGCAGAGACACAACAAUUUGUAGACUUUCGGUCGGCCAUAGAUAGCUCUUUGCCAUAGGUAUGAAAGCGAUACCCGUUGAUGUCGUAUUUGUCAAAUGAACGAACCUUAUAGUCAAAACCAUUAGCUACUUGUCUCAAUUCGGCAUCCAUAAUCUCUGAAUUAGCCUACAAGUUUAAUACGAAAGGAUUGUUGCAUUAGUCGCAAAUUAGCCAAAGAAAUGAAAUGGUCUAAUGGAAAUUACCGUUUUUUUGAACCAAGAGAUGAAACCGGGAUAUUCGCCUCCUUGCUUUGCCAGAAGCUCAUACUCUUCGACGGAAUCCUUUUGGAUCACCGCUCCAUAUGAGAAUAUGGCAACGUAUCGACUGCAUCAAAUAUCCAGGAAUAAGAGCAGUUCAAAGAAAUUACAAGUUGCGAGACAAUGUACCGAGAUCUUACUCGAUGUACGGCCGCACUUCUGUUAGGUUGUUGAAGAGAUACAAUGAAAUGGUCCGCCAUUCUUCAACAUCCAACGAUACUGGCUUCCAACCACUGGCUAGUGCGAGAUUCCCUUUGAAUAGGCUGAGGUUGGAUCGACCCUUUUUAGGGUCGUCAGCAUUGUACCGAGGCUUCAGAUUAUGCAAAUGAUGAUUUUUGGCUUCGUAGUGUGCUGUCACGAAGUUUGCCGCCUCCUCAGUGAUGAAUGCCUCGGCCAUCGAUGCUUCAAUUCUACUUUUAUUUUUACAUUUUGCCCGAAGCGUCUUCUGCAUCCUCUCAGUUGAGUAGCACCAACGAUUUUUCACGGGCCCCCCAAUCAUGCCUCGGUCGGGAGAUGCAAAAUCAAGUGUUGCAUUGGAUUAAAGAAGCUUGGCGGAAAGAUCAUCUCUAACUUGCAGAUCAACUCCGGCGCCAACUGUUCCAUUUCUUCUAGGAGGCCAAGCGAUAGUUCUUUCGCACAAAGAACACGGAAGAAAUAGCUCAGCUCUUCCAAUACUAGCCAUUCAUCCUCAGGGAUGAAGCCACGCAACAUCACCGGCAUUAUCCGCUCAAUCCAUAUGUGCCAAUCAUGACUUUUUAGACCAAAUAUUUUCAAUUUUUCAAGACUCGCUCCCCUCUUUAGAUUUGCUGCAUACCCAUCGGGGAACAUCAACUGCAUUUUUACCCACAAAAUAAUUUCCUUCAUAGCUGGCCUUCCAAGAUUGAACCAUGCCUUUGGCUUCGUCCAGUUCCGCUUUCGUUUCGGUUCUUGCAUGUUUUGUAAUGGUCUAUCACAUAGCUCCUCUUGAUCGACUCUAGCCUUAGUAUUAUCCUUUGAUUUCCCCUCUAUGCCGAACAAUGUACAAAAAUGGCUUCGGCGAUAUUCUUUUCAGUGUGCAUCACGUCGAUGUUGUGUGGGUAAAGGAGGUCUUUGGAGUAAGGCAGAUCCCAGAAGCAUGUCUUGUGAGUCCAGGCGUGUUCUUUAUUAUACCCCUUGAAAUACCCUGGACGCUCUGGAUCUGGCUCGAGAGCGUUUAACUGAUCUAGGGUCUGUUGGCCUGUCAACGCAGGUGGUGCAGAGUGUUUGACAACUCUACCUUUGAUGAAGUUCUUCUUGUCUUUCCUGAACUUAUGGAGAGGAUCUAGAAACGGUCUAUGCAAGUCGAAGCAAGUAUACUUGUGUCCUGCCGUCAGCCAACGAAACUCAAGAGCUCCCUUGCAUGUGGGGCACGGGAACCUUUCAUGCACACACCAGCCAACGAAUAGCGCAUACGCCGGCAAGUCAUGUGUCGAGUACAUGUACUAGGCACGCAUUAUGAAGUUCUAUUUGCUGAAGGUGUCGUAUGUCUUGAACCCAUUAUCCCAAGCUUCUUGCAAUUCGUCCUUAAGCGGCUGCAUGUACACAUUCAUAUUCUUCCCCGGAUAGUUGGGCCCUGGAAUUAUCAACGUCAGGAAAAUGUUCUUUCUUUGCAUAAUCUGCCGGGGGGGGGGGGGAUUGAGUGGAAUGAAAAACACGGGCCAACAACUGUAUUGGGCUGCCGUCUGACCAAACACAUUGAACCCAUCCGUGCUGAAGGCGACUCGAGGAUGCCUUGGAUCUGCCAUUCUUUCCUUAUGUAAUGCAUCGAAGCGCUUCCACGCUUCACCAUCCGAUGUGUGCACCAUCAUCACAUUCCCAUCUGCAUCUAGUUCGGUUCUUUUGCCCUUUUUGUGCCAUGCCAUCUGUCUGGCCGUCUCUUUAACCAUGAAAAGACGUUGAAGUCUUGGUACGAUUGGCAUAUACCGAAGAACAUUAACGGGUAUUUUGGUCUGCGUCUUCUCACGCAUACCGUUGUCUACCACAACAUACGUGGAAUACUUGCAAAUGGGACAAUAGUUCAAGUCCUCAUACUGAAGCCUAAAUAAGACACAUCCUUUCUCACAUGAAUGUAUCUUCUCAUAGGGCAUCUUAAGAGUUCUCAUAGGGCAUCUUAAGAGCACGAAGGAUUUUUUCGAACUGGUACAGGUUUGGAGGUAGCACAUGGCCUUUGGGUAGAAAUCGUCCGAAUACUGUCAUCAUCGCGUUGUAGCAUUCUCUGCCCAAGUUGAGUUGAUCCUUCAAAGCCAUUAUUUGUGAGAUGGCAUCCAGCUGACAAAGCUCAGUGUGCUCAUGGAGAGGACGUUUUGAGGACUCCAACAUUUCAGUGAAGGCCUUUGCAGAUUCCUCCAUAUCCUCGUCCGAGUCCCGAGCAUCGUCAAAGUCUUGCACCAUGUCUCCCAUCCCAGUACCAUGCUCGUCGGUGCGACGACGAACCACCUCGGCUCUGGCACGUUGGGCAGACUCACCAUGUAAUGUCCAGACCGUGUAACCAGGCAUAAAACCAAACUUCUGCAGGUCUUUACUCAUUUCAAGCUCGUCCCUUGUCGGUGUAUAAAAGAGGGGGCGCACUUUCGUACCCCUUUACCUGUGCGCGGACAGUCGAAGCCGCGCCCGUGGCCGCAGCAAGCAGAGUGGAGGAGGUGAACCAAGGAAAAACCAAAGCUCAAGACGGCCAGAGCAACGCCAAGAUCAAGACCGCAAAGAAGCAGAGAGGCGAAGCAGGUUCCCUGGCAAGAUCCUUGCCGGGGGCAGCCUCAGCGGCCCCGGCAAGACCCUUGCCGGGGGCAGCCUCAGCGGCCCCGGCAAGACCCUUGCCGGGGCGGCUCGCCCACACCAGCGGAGUGAGCCACCCUCAAGCCCACGGGUUCCAACUCAGCCAACCACGUUGGAACUAGGGCUCCGGAGGCACCUCCAUGGUGGCAUGCAGAUCUUUGUCAAGACCAAGGAAUGUUCAAGACCAGAUGAGGAUUAAAAGACAACAGCCCUCGGCAAGAUCCUUGCCGAGGAAGGCCACCAGACCCCCGGCAAGAUCCUUGCCGGGGACAACAGCGCGCCAUGGCAAGACCCUUGCCGGGCCACCCGGCAAGGCCCUCACCGAGGACGCCAGCCGGGCCACUGCCAGACCCACACCAACCAAGUCUCCGCUGUCGAUGUCAAAACCAGCGGAUCUCGGGUAGGGGGUCCCGAACUUGCGUCCAAGGCGGAUGUUAACAGGAGGCGGGGGACACGAUGUUUACCCAGGUUCGGGCCCUCUCAAUGGAGGUAAUACCCUACUUCCUGCUUGAUUGAUCUUGAUGAUAUGAGUAUUACAAGAGUUGUCUACCACGAGAUCGUAGAGGCUAAACCCUAGAAGCUAGCUUAUGGUAUGAUUGUUGUUGUCCUACGGACUAAACCCUCCGGUUUAUAUAGACAUCGGAGGGGGCUAGGGUUACACAGAGUCGGUUACAAGGGAGGAGAUCUACAUAUCCGUAUUGCCAAGCUUGCCUUCCACGCCAAGGAGAGUCCCUUCCGGACACGGGACGAAGUCUUCAAUGUUGUAUCUUCAUAGUCCAACAGUCCGGCUGUCCGAGGACCCCCUAAUCCAGGACUCCCUCAGUAGCCCCUGAACCAGGCUUCAAUGACGAUGAGUCCGGCGCGUAGAUUAUCUUCGGCAUUGCAAGGCGGGUUCCUCCUCCGAAUAUUCCAUAGAAGAUUUUGAACACAAGGAUAGUGUCCGGCUCUGCAAAAAAAAUUCCACAUACCACCGUAGAGAGAAUAAUAUUUCCAUGAAUCUAAUCUGCUGACAACUUUUCAUGACGUGGCGUCACACCACGGCCCGGUCAUUAUUCGAACCGUUUCUCCCAGCCUGCCACUGCAUGUUUCGCGAGGCGGUUUUAUUUGCACGUCUUGUCGAAGCAGAGAUCGUGUCCCCCUUAUCAUGGGAUUCUCAUCAAUACGGGUAUGGGUAACCCAAUCGUGCAUGUUGGUAUGACUCCUCGAUUUUAGGCAAGUUCCAAACGGCCACGCGGAGGACGCUUGAUAUUCACCCUCUUUAUAAAGGGGCCAAGGCCUGUCCUUUUCUUCUCGCGCUCAAUCGAAUCCUUCCCCCACCCCGAGUUCCAACACCCAAGGCUCAGGCUAGGCGUUUCGGACCUUCAAUCAUGUCCGGAUCCAACCUCCAAGGUCGGUGGAUGCCCUCCUCCAUCACAGAGGAGGACAUCAAGAAGCUAAGAGAAGCCAGGUAUCUGACCGCCGAAAUCGCGCACAGGCUGCCUGCUCGAGGGCAGGUCGUUCCUACUCCCGAGCCCAACGAGAGUGUCGUAUUCAUUUCCCACUUCCUCCAAGGGCUAGGAUUUUGUCUAGAUCCCUUCGUUAGAGGGCUCAUGUUCUAUUACGGGCUCGAUUUCCAUGAUCUGGCCCCGGAUUCCAUCCUUCACAUCUCGUCGUUCAUCGUCAUGUGUGAGGCCUUCCUCCACGUCACCCCACACUUCGGCUUGUGGCUCAAGACCUUUAAUGUGAAGCCGAAGAUGAUUAAUGGGCGACAUGCAGAAUGCGGAGGCGCCGUAAUAAGCAAAGGCGCCAAUGCUCCAUGGCCAAAGGGUUCCUUCCUGGAGGUGUCCAGCUUAUGGCAAUGGGAGUGGUUUUACAUCAUAGCUCCCCAUGGUAGUAAGUGGGUUGCCGCCCCUGCUUUCCGCUCGGGCCCCCCGCCACAACUGGCGUCAUGGGUCAACAAGGGGUUGGACUGGGGGCCAGUAAAUGAUGUGCCGACAUUGCAGAGCCGCAUCCAAGAUCUCCUCGAGAGAGAUGUCAGCCUUGUCAAGGUAAUGCAAGUCAUGCUAGUUCGUCGAGUCCUGCCUUGCAAACGUCGACCUCUCCGUAUGUGGGAGUUCAACCCGGAAGGACCGUGAACUAUUCAGCACUUCUUCGGCAUUACGCACGAAGAGAUGUAUGGAUUGUUCUUCGGAUCACAAAUAAAGUGUCCGGACACCACUGAGGAUGCGGGUCUGAGCUGCAAUCGUCCAGAUACCCAAGUAAGUAAUUCUUCGGCCGAACAUGCUGUCUCUUUAUUUAUCACAACAUCAUUCUGAAAAGUCGCUCUUUGACCAGGAUUGGGUGAAAAAGGCAAAGAUGAUCAGGUGUUCGGCCCCCCUUCCCGAAGGCUCAACAGAAGUACUGGCUAGAAUGCUUGAGCUCGCGCCUUAUCAAGCGCCAUCAGGGGAAGAUAAAGGGGGGAAUAAAGCAGCCGAUAGCGGGCCACACUCAUUAUUCAUCCAGACCGGGGGAAUUAGUACCUCCGCGAAGGAGGAUAACCGGGGAGAAGAAUCUAAAAUCCCCUCUCCCCAAGGAAGGAAGAGGACCACCUCCGAAGGCUUGGAAACAAUGGUUUCCAAACGAGGGAAGAAAUCUUUGUCAGGGGGUCCUACCCCAGAGGGUAUCCUUACCGCACAGUGCCCGCAAGGGAACCAGCCCUCCACCGAACUGUAAGUAAACAAAAGUACUUUAUAAUAAAUAUAGCCUGCUUCAUCUCUGAGAUCAAUAACCGAGACGUAUGUCUUGUAGUUCGGAUCGUAGCCCUUCUCGGCAGAGUUCGUCUUCGGGGGCUCUUCUUCCGGAGAUGAUGGAGAGCGAAACGCCUCCCCGUGCCUCCCCGCCUCGUGAAGCGGACGACCUUGAGGUGUCGUCACGGAGGAUUUCUCCUAAUGCGCCAAGGCCAGAGGGUAACCCUUUGGCCACCCGAAGUCCGGAGUAUUUGGCUCCUAAGGAGAGCAACAGAAAGAGUCCGGGACUGUCCGGUGUGCGACCAGACGCACUGAUGAAUCUUCUAGAGCAAGCGGCUAUCUCAGAAGUGCAUCGUACGCUAAUGGGUACGGUGGUUGAGAGGAUUUCAUCCGCCGAAAGCGGAUUGCAUGAAGCUUUUAUGAGCCUGCUGAGAGGCUUUGAGGUACGCAAAGUAAUAUAUAUUUUUGAUGGUACCGCACAUGCUAGGUGUGCCCUCUGCAGACAGUAGCCCCUGAGACUCUGGUUGCUGUCAAAAAAGGCGGCAAAUAGAGGAUCAUAGUCCCAGGUAAUAACCGUGAUGCUUUCAUGUGCAGGCGGCUGAGGGUCCAGUGGCUAGCCGAACUGGUGAGUUUGCCGAACUGAAGCGGCAACUUGAUGCGGCGGAUGCCGACAUCGUGCUUGUAAACAAGCGGCUUGCGCAGGGUAUGUAUUUUCUCCGGUGACCAGCACGUAUUAAGAGGAGCAUGAUGCUAGUAUCUUUAAUAUGCUGUGACUGCAGAUGCAGUUGCAGCCGUGGAGACCCUUCGGGCGGAACUUGCCCGAGCCAAGGAACAAGCCAGGAAGAGUGAUGGGGCCGCCCUAAAGGCGGUAGAAGAGCUGAGAGCCGAACAGGCUGCGCAUUGCCAGAGCAAAGAGAAAAUAGCCCAGAUGGCUAUUGAGCUGAAAGAUGCCGCCGACCGUUAUGAGCUUCUUGCAAAGGAAAGCCAAACGAAGACAGCGGACCUGGAGAAAGCUAUGGUAGCAGCCAAGGAAGCCUGCUCUAAAAUCAGAGCGAUGGAGGAGGAGCUACGUCAAGCCGGAGAUAUCGCGGCUGGGAAGCCCUUUUUGUUGCAGACGAAGUUCGGAGAUCCUAAGUAUGCCCUUCUUGAUCAAUUAUGGAGUUCUGCAGACGCAUACUUGGAUUUGGCAGCGAGUGCUGCUAAUGCGACCGAGUUUUUCAAAGAUAAAAAAGAUCACGAAGUGGAAAAGCUGUUCUAGUCGCAGUUCAAUGUUCCAGUGCGUUCGCUGCUGUUAAAUGAGCGAAUGGCCGAGUGGGCCGAGCUCCAUAGGUUGUCCGGGCUUGCCAUGAGGUUUGUUGUGGAUCAUCUUUAGCCGGAAGGACCAAGGCCGAAUAGUUAUUUUGGCUUAGUGCAACAAUUCCUUGGUGCUGUGCCGCAUAUCGACGCUAUGAAGAGGUCAGCGUGCAUAGAGGGUGCGAAUGGCUCUUGCCCGUGUCAAGACAUACUGGGCAGAGAUGGAGGCCACCGCUAUUGCAACCCAGAGUUCGGCCGUAGGCCGAGUAUCGGCCGAGCACUAUUUUGAAAAAGUCUUAGAAGGCGCUCGUUUAAUAGAGGUGUCAGGACCCCGAUUCCAAGUCACAUUGAUCUAGCCGGUAACACCUCAUAUCACUUUAUGGCCUCACGCACGGUAUUCCCACGGGUGUCGCCUUACCAUGGCCCGGGACCGUUUGCGCCUUUUGGCUCACGUAUAUGAUAGUGUCGCUAGCAUCCAUACGACAGAGAACCCGGGCUGACAUGACUAGUCGUGAACCCAAAGUGGCACUAACUUACGGGGACAGGCAUACAUGAAUCAACAUCGAGCAUGUCGGUCAGCAGCGUGCGAAUCCGGGCUGUAGCACUCGGCUAACAGGACUCCAGUGAACCGGGCUGUAGCAGGCAAGGCAGGACUCCGGAUGUCACCGCGUGACAUUUCCCCGAAGGGACAGACACAGGAACAAAGUGAAUCACAUGCCGGCCAGUCAAGUGUUUCGGAGCAGUAGUGCUGGGCUAGUAGGACUCCGGUGAACCGGGCUGUAGCGGACUACUAUGACUCAUGGAAGCACAAGACUACAUUUCCCCAUAAGAGAGGCUACCAAGGAUAAACAACUAGGUUGUCGGAUCCCACACAUACCAAGCAUUUCAAUCAUACACGCAAUAUGCUCGAUAUGUGUAAAUACAACAUGGCAUCACAACAUAACUCUACGACUCAAGUAUUUAUUCAUUAGGCUCCGAAGAGCCAGAUAUUACAAACAUGGGUCUCAUGACCCAACAUUCAGAGCAUACAAGUCAAAGCACAUGCGGAAGCUUAACAUGUCUGAGUACAGACAUCUAUAAAUGAAAAAGGCUGAGAAGCCUGACUAUCUACCAGAUCCUGCCGAGGGCACAAGAUCGUAGCUGAGGUAUCAAGCUAAACGUCGAAGUCCACACGGAACUACUAGCGAGACUGAUGUCUCUCUGCAAAACAUAAAAUAAGCAAACGUGAGUACAAAUGUACCCAGCAGGACUUACAUCAGAACUAUCUACAUAUGCAUCGGUAUCAACAAAGGGGGUGGUGGAGUUUGACUGCAGCAAGCCAGCUUUGACUCGGUGGCUAUCCUGAACUACGACUGCAAGUAACUCUUUUGAGGUGGCGCACACGAGUCCACAUAUUCACCAUAUCAAUACACCACUAUGGAUCCGCUCCCGUCUCCCUACGAGAACGCCAUCCACAGCACUCACGCUUAUCUUGCGCAUUUUAGAGUAUCCACUUUCACUUGUCUAUGAACUGUUAUAGGCAACCCAGAAGUCCUUUACCGCGGACACGGCUAUUCGAAUAGAUGAUGUUAACCCUGCAGGGGUGUACUUCGUCACACACGCUCUCGCCACUUACCACCAUGUACACGUCGUGUACCUCGGCAACCUUCAAGCGGAAGCCUGGCGAGGGAGUCGGCCACGACCUGACUAACCACACAAGUCUCUCGUCCAGGUUUAUCGCCUAUUCGGGUUCCAUCCGCAAGGAGAUCCGGCCGGGGUGUCACUCACGGCCCCAAACGAUGUGUGCAGGGUUCCCGAGCCCACCAUCCGGGUGCCACUCGGUACACCAGGCCACGUGUGCCUAGUCUGUCCCAAGCCCACCUGUACCGGGUGCCACUUGGUAGACUACUAACACUACCUACAAACACCAGAAACUAGUUGCAACUCCUGGACAGAGAUCAAGUUGAUUAAUAAGUCAAGAGGGGUCGAGUUACCGGAACCCAAUGUGUGGUAGUAACUGUUCAUGGAUCACAAACACAGAACUCAGUUCCUGAGGACGGUUUCAAUGAGACAACCCACCAUGUACUCCUACAUGGCCUCUCACCGCUACCUUUACCAAAUCGUGUUCACACACUUAGCUCUCACACAGUAGGACAUGUUCACAACUCUCCAAUUCAUUCCCGAUGAAUCAGACCUGACACAACUCUAAGCAAUAGCAGGCAUGACAAACAAGCAUGAAUGAGUAGGCACAUCAGGGCUCAAACAACUCCUACUCAUGCUAGUGGGUUUCAUCUAUUUACUGUGGCAAUGACAGGUCAUGCAGAGGAAAGGGGUUCAACUACCGCAGCAUGUAAUAGUUGAAACGUUGUUGUCCUAAUGCAGUAAAAAGAGAGCAGGAGCGAGAGAGUGGGAUUGUAUCGGAAUGAACAAGGGGGUUUUGCUUGCCUGGCACUUCUGAAGAUAAUAUAGUUCUUCAUCGGUGUCAUCGAUCUCAUUGCCGGAAUAACAUCUACUGAAGGGGGACAAUUACCGGCAACAGAGAGGAAACACAAUCAAUGCAAUGCAACAAUAUGAUGCAUGAAUGUGACAUGGCAAUAUGCUGUGAUUUGAGCUAAUGCAGCUAGCAACGAUUUAAAUGGAGUUGGUUUGAACACUAGAUUGAAAUUUGAACUCCACAUGAGGCAUUUCAAAUACCAUUAAUUGAAAUUGUCAUAUACAGUGGCUGUAAGUUGUUAAAACAUGCAUGAGAAUGCCAUAAACAGAUUCUUCAUAUUUUUUUGAUAAUUUUUCAUAUAUAAAUUAUCUCAUUUAGAGUUUUUAUUUUCUAUGAUUUUUAGAAGUUUAAACAAUUUUCUCGAAUUUCCCGAAUAAGAAUAAUCCAGAAAAUGAGUUACUGCGUCAGCUGGUCAACUGGGGCGGUCCAGGUCAAACCUGACCAGUGGGACCCAUUGGUCAGUGACUCAGAGCUGGUUUGGGUGGAUGACAGGUGGGACCGGUCAACGCUGACUUGGUCAAAGUCUAACUGACACGUGGGGUCCGCAAGAUUAGCACUAAUCUAAACCGAAGAUAAACUAACCUAAACAGGCACAGGGGCCCACAUGGCAGUGGCUCCGAGGGGUCAGUUAGGCGCUAAUGACGGUGCCAUGUCACCAGCCACCGGAGUUGGACGUCGGCGACCUCACAGUGCGGCGGCGGCUUGCCGAAAUCGCGCUGUGGCCGUCGGCUGGAUGUGCCCAGGGCACCGGGCGAUAGCCCUUGCUCCCGCGCAUCUAUCGGAGGCAGCAGCAGGAUACGGGGUCACCGGAAUCGACGCCGGCGACGAGCCGAGCGGUGGCCGGAGCUACGGGCAUGAAGCAAUCGGCGCUAGGGUGAGGGAAACGGCAGGAUUUUGUUGUCUACGACGUCUAUGCAACCUCACUAGGCCUCUAGGAACACGCUCCCGACUAUAAGGUCACCGGAGCAUCAACGGCGUGGAGCUCGGGCGGCGGUGCUCCUCGGCUUCCAUGAAAACGGCGGCCAGAGCUCGAAAUCGAGCACGGGAGUAGGGGGAAAACGAUGCGGGGCUCACAUGGAGGUCGUUGAGCUUCUCAGCGGCUCGGGGGAGGCGUCGAAGGUGACGAACAGGCGCCGGCGAUCUCGGCGGCUGAAGGUUGAAGAUGACCGUGGCGGUGAGGACGUUCGGGGCGUCCGGCGACGCGUGGUUCUGUGGGGACGUCGAGGACGAAGAGGCGGAGCUUCUUGGCACAGUGAGAGGGCGAGGGAGGUACGGUGGUCAGGCGGGCGGCAGCUGGAGAAGGGGCAGAGGAGAGGGAGAGAGUGCAGCGAGUGAGGGAGAGGAGAGAGGGGCUUCGAGCCAUCUCCAGGCGCGGGAUUGGGUUGACGGAGAGCGCGACACGACGAAGCAGGAGGUGGCGCAGUGCGUGCGUGCGCGCGGCGACCACGCGUCUGUCCUUCUAUCCAGGGAGGAAGACGACAGGGAGGCUGCGGUGGUGGGUUGGGCCAGGAAAAAGAACUGGGCCGGCUCUGCUGCAGGUAAGCGCCAGGUAAGUCUUUCUCUCCUCUGUCUUUUAUUCAUUUGUUUUCUAUUUUCUAUUUCUGCUACUAUUUUUGAAUUUGGUUUGCUAACCAAAUUAUUUUUGCAGCUUCUGGAGAUUAGUGUGGAUGAUAGAUGCAUUAUUACAGGGCCCCACACAUAAUUCCAGAAUUAUCGGAGCAAUAAAUAAUAUGCAUAGCAUUUAGUUGCUCCAAUUCAAAUACUUAAUGAAUUCAUUCAAAAAUCCAGAUAUGUCCUAAAAAUAUGUGCAUCCGUUUUGGCAGAGGUAUCCACCUUAACCAAAAAUCAUGAACUUUUCUCAAGGCAUUUUGGAUUCUUUGAAAAUCAUUUUAAGUUGAGCCUAUUUGAUUUAAUUUGGUGCUAGGGUUUGUUCAUCCCCAAUUCAGAUUUAAAUGAAAUUUAGACAUGAUGCAGCAACCAAGCUAGUCCAAGUGCAUAGCAAGGCUAGGGACGUGACAACUCACCCCCACUAAACAAAAAUCUCGUCCCGAGAUUCAAGCGUAGGGUAAGAUGAAAGGGGAACGCAAAGUAACAUAGUCUUCACGAUCCAAUUGUUCUUCUCGAAGAUGUUGAUUCAUUGCAUCAUCUUGAUCUUGACAUAUUUUCUUUCGAGAGCUUCAUCCAACUAUGAUGACGGAAGAGAGGGAAAAUCUAUAGGAUUGAUCUUCUCGAAGAUCGAGCUAUACAAGAUCAACUCACGGAAUGAGAUGUUGAAACAUCUCGAGUUGAGACACAAAACACAUCGAGAGGGAUGGAAGAACAAAUGACGAGAUUUGAUUUGGUGGGCAACAAUCCCACGCUUAGGUAGGAUGGUGCAUGGUUUCAAAGUAGCGAGGAGAUAGUUGCCACGAUUCCAUAACGGGGCACCUUAGGGAAGGUGGCUCAUAGAAAUAUCCCUUAAGUGGCAAAAAGAAUUACUUUUGAUUCAGAGAUCAUUGAAACUCUUCAUACCAGCCUAAGGCAAUUUACAAAUGAUCAUUUGAAAGAAUUCAAAAGAAUGGCACACUCAAUUUGGAAAGGAAACUACGGUUAUAGAAUAGCUCGGCAAAUGGGAGGCACAUUCCAGUUGAUACCAGGGAUAUAACCUAGUGACUGAGCGUGCUUUCAAGAACUUGAGCAUUUCCAUAUUCAUCAAGGUUUUACCAACAUCCGUGCCGAGGAUCCUGGCAACACAUCAUACUACCAUGAUGAACGGUGAUGGAGGAUGCAGGUGCAAAGGAGGACAUCACUUUCUCAGAUUUUUCCUUAGCAAUGCCAAAGAAGCAAAUCUGGAUGAUCGACCGAGAGACAUUUAGCACUCCGCUUCUAAUGUUCUCCUUGAUGCACUAGCAUAUCCCAUUCAUAGAUAUGGUUUGAUAUCUAGAACAUCAAGUAAAAGGUCGGACUUCGAAAAAUAUAAAAAUCCAUAAGGAACAACUAGGGAGCAAAUCCUACGAAAUCCUUAUGGGGAGGUGGCCAACUUCCUCAAUCAAGUUACUACAAUAAUAGGUCUUCCGGCUGGGUGUGUUGGCCACGACAUCCACUUACCGGGUUACGAAGACCAAUAUUAUAGCUAUUGGGAGAUGUUCCAACCAUCAUAUCUGCCUGAGAUUCAGAUCUGGUUGGUAACAGGAUAUUUCAGACAGCAUGUCCGGAAAAGAAAGUUUGCAACACAAACCGACGAGAUGGCGUUGCGAGAUUCUCGGGAGAUGAACUUUGGUAGCAAGCUCCAAAAGAUGAGCGGGUUCUGCUACAAACAUGUGAACACGCUGUCCCAGACAAGCAUGCCCACAAGGUAGUCUUACAAUGAAACACUACUGAGUUCUGGUUGGGAACCAUCUUCGAGGAUAUCGAAGCCCUUGCAUAAGUCCGGGUCCUAAGAAGGAACUUCUUCUCCUUAAACAAAUCAAUUAGUGGCUUGGUGUGCUAGGGAUACGUAUGGGAUGAAGGUAGCUAAUCUGUCAAAUCACAGAAUACUUCGCACGUGCAUGACUGACUUGCGAUGAUCCCAGGGGAGCAAAACAAACUUUCUCAAAUUCACGGCGGCAACUUACAUCAACUGCACGUGAAUUAGAGGAAGUCACUCCUUCCAUCCAAGCAUAAGCUUCAUGAUCGGAACACAAAGGCAUUGCUUACAAAGUUUUCAACACUAGGUUGAUGUUCAACAUGAAUCAUGGGGGAGACAAGAUGCUGCUGAUGGGCUCAACAGCAACUCAUCGGAAUUUCCAUAUCACUGGACUUCCACCAUCGUGUGAACACGGUGAUAGCAUUGGUCAGACCAAAAGAUGUAAUGGUGUAUGCUCAAGGGAUCAACCACGAGUAAGACAACAUUAUGAACAUCGUUGGUUCUGAUUUGAUUUGACGAUAGCCCAUGUUCGAAUCAAAGUUUUGACAAGAUGAUAGACCCCACAACUGAUCACAAGGACCAAUCGAUGAAGAUAUCACCUUUCUUCAACACACACACACACAAGGAUAUCCCUUUGGAAAUGAACUAAGUUAGACAAGCUUUUACCUUCCAACUCUCCAAGUUGUUGUUUGGCUUAACCAACUCGCUCAGGGGUAUCCAACACGGAUUCUUGGAGAAAGAGUGGCUUAUUGGAAAACCGACUUGAUCACGAACUCAACAUAUCGGUCAGGGGACGACCUGGUGAUACUUCCGUGAAGAUAUCUGGAAAAUCACUAACCACCGAUAUGUUACUAAGCUCGAGAACAAACUUGCUUUUCAGGGCAAGACGAUGUGAUCAAAAAGAGCGAGGAAUUGAUACAAUCCUAACUCGUUGACCGAAGAGUGCACCAGGAAAUAUGGACUAGGUAACACGAUCAAUCUCAGGAUGGUGAUUGAAUAACCAACACGCUAAGAAUGAGAUUGUUGUCCAUUAACUACCAAGCAACGGGGUUGCUAGGAGUAUCGAUUUCACACAUCACGGUCCACUUGUCGGUAUUCCGGUUGUGACAACACGGGACCGAGGAAUGAAUAAUGAUGGCGAGAAGUAUCACUGCGUCAAGAAUUCAUAAGAGGUGGUGCAAUUCUCAUGACACUCUUGACAUAAAGAUGGCAACGCUCCAAGGUAGAGCAGAGCAAAAGCUGGAUUGGCAUUUUGGUCUGCGGAAUACAAUUGCUUUGACCCAAUCCUAGAUAUGGACGAGGUUCUGGAGUUUGUUUCUCCUAGUCAUUCUGAAAUAGAAUGGCUUGACAGACCACAAGAGCAAUAGGCAUCGAUGAACAUGAGUGCACGACUAGUCCUGACUAUCAAUUGAUAGACGGGGGUCGGAAUACAACUAAAGAGGGACAAUCCAAAGGAACGUAUAAUUUUCUAGGUUGCGGAUGCAUAGAUUUAGUAUGUCAAACAAGGUCAACAUAUUUCUUCCAGAUAAUCCAUGCAGAAAGGUAGGACUGGCAGAUUCACAAUGCAGAAUGGAGAACUCAUCAAGAGCACUCUGGUUGUGAUCUUUUGGUUCAAAGAACUUCUGCCAUAGUGGUUCAUGGUAUUGGAAGAACGAUAUACCACAGACCUCGAGGACUAAUGCAAAGGUUACUAAUAACCUAAAGGAACGAGCAAACACUAUCAACAGGAGGUAAGUGGAGUGAAUCUUGGGCUCAAGAACCCAGAAAUAGAGUGCCUACUAACUAAGUGGCAUCAUGGGAUGCUUUCGGGAAUGAUGGCCAGAAUCAUCACACUAGGAACACAAAACAUGGCUAGAUUACUAGGUGAUCCUCUAAGACACCUAGGGUCAUAAUAAUAGCUCCAACAUAUAUACCGAGACAAUAGAGUGCCUCAACGCACCGAUUAGUGUGGUUAAACUGGCCCAAAGAAACAUCGGGAACAGAAAGAAGGGAUUUGCAAAUGCAUCAGACUAUUUAGAAACCUGGGAUGACUCGGACAGCAUAACGGUUGUAAAUGUUCAAAAAGAAUUGAGACAUCCUGGAAAAAUGGUGGCAUAACCACUCAACAACAUCAUAUCAAGGUUCCAAGUCCAACUAACAACACACUGUAGUGGUAGCAACUGAAUUGAGGCUUGAGACCAACAAUCCUACGAGUCUACGGAUUAGUAACACGUGAUCCUGAUAGAAAGAUGAGAAGCCUAGUUCUUAAUCCCCGUAGAAGAGAAGAGGGUGACUCAGAUCAGAAGGGCAUAAGGUAAAGGAGUAAAAAGAGCCUUACGUUCCCUUCCACAAUCAAUUCCCUUAUAUAACUAAAGCAUUUCUAGACUCAACUUCGACCAGUUUGGCUUGGUAAUCCUACAGGCAGUCAGGCUCUGAUACCAAAGCUGUCAGGACCCCGAUUCCAAGUCACAUUGAUCUAGCCGGUAACACCUCAUAUCACUUUGCGGCCUCACGCACGGUAUUCCCACGGGUGUCGCCUUACCAUGGCCCGGGACCGUUUGCGCCUUUUGGCUCACGUAUAUGAUAGUGUCGCUAGCAUCCAUAUGACAGAGAACCCGGGCCGACAUGACUAGUCGUGAACCCAUAGUGGCACCAACUUACGGGGACAGGCAUACAUGAAUCAACAUCGAGCAUGUCGGUCAGCAGCGUGCGAAUCUGGGCUGUAGCACUGGGCUAAUAGGACUCCGGUGAACCGGGCUGUAGCAGGCUAGGCAGGACUCCGGAUGUCACCGCGUGACAUUUCCUCGAAGGGACAUACACAGGAACGAAGUGAAUCACAUGCCGGCCAGUCAAGUGUUUCAGAGCAGUAGUGCUGGGCUAGCAGGACUCCGGUGAACCGGGCUGUAGCGGACUACUAUGGCUCAUGGAAGCACAAGACUACAUUUCCCCAUAAGAGAGCCUACCAAGGAUAAACAACUAGGUUGUCGGAUCCCACACAUACCAAGCAUUUCAAUCAUACACGCAAUAUGCUCGAUAUGUGUAAAUACAACAUGGCAUCACACCAUAACUCUAUGACUCAAGUAUUUAUUCAUUAGGCUCCGAAGAGCCAGAUAUUACAAACAUGGGUCUCAUGACCCAACAUUCAGAGCAUACAAGUCAAAGCACAUGCGGAAGCUUAACAUGUCUGAGUACAGACAUCUAUAAAUGAAAAAGGCUGAGAAGCCUGACUAUCUACCAGAUCCUGCCGAGGGCACAAGAUCGUAGCUGAGGUAUCAAGCUAAACGUCGAAGUCCACACGGAACUACUAGUGAGACUGACGUCUCUCUGCAAAACAUAAAAUAAGCAAACGUGAGUACAAAUGUACCCAGCAGGACUUACAUCAGAACUAUCUACAUAUGCAUCGGUAUCAACAAAGGGGGUGGUGGAGUUUGACUGCAGCAAGCCAGCUUUGACUCGGUGGCUAUCCUGAACUACGACUGCAAGUAACUCUUUUGAGGUGGCGCACACGAGUCCACAUAUUCACCAUAUCAAUACACCACUAUGGAUCCGCUCCCGUCUCCCUACGAGAACGCCAUCCACAGCACUCACGCUUAUCUUGCGCAUUUUAGAGUAUCCACUUUCACUUGUCUAUGAACUGUUAUAGGCAACCCAGAAGUCCUUUACCGCGGACACGGCUAUUCGAAUAGAUGAUGUUAACCCUGCAGGGGUGUACUUCGUCACACACGCUCUCGCCACUUACCACCAUGUACACGUCGUGUACCUCGGCAACCUUCAAGCGGAAGCCUGGCGAGGGAGUCGGCCACGACCUGACUAACCACACAAGUCUCUCGUCCAGGUUUAUCGCCUAUUCGGGUUCCAUCCGCAAGGAGAUCCGGCCGGGGUGUCGCUCACGGCCCCAAACGAUGUGUGCAGGGUUCCCGAGCCCACCAUCCGGGUGCCACUCGGUACACCAGGCCACGUGUGCCUAGUCUGUCCCAAGCCCACCUGUACCGGGUGCCACUUGGUAGACUACUAACACUACCUACAAACACCAGAAACUAGUUGCAACUCCUGGACAGAGAUCAAGUUGAUUAAUAAGUCGAGGGGGGUCGAGUUACCGGAACCCAAUGUGUGGUAGUAACUGUUCAUGGGUCACAAACACAGAACUCAGUUCCUGAGGACGGUUUCAAUGAGACAACCCACCAUGUACUCCUACAUGGCCUCUCACCGCUACCUUUACCAAAUCGUGUUCACACACUUAGCUCUCACACAGUAGGACAUGUUCACAACUCUCCAAUUCAUUCCCGAUGAAUCAGACCUGACACAACUCUAAGCAAUAGCAGGCAUGACAAACAAGCAUGAAUGAGUAGGCACAUCAGGGCUCAAACAACUCCUACUCAUGCUAGUGGGUUUCAUCUAUUUACUGUGGCAAUGACAGGUCAUGCAGAGGAAAGGGGUUCAACUAUCGCAGCAUGUACCAGUUGAAACGUUGUUGUCCUAAUGCAGUAAAAGAGAGCAGGAGCGGGAGAGUGGGAUUGUAUCGGAAUGAACAAGGGGGUUUUGCUUGCCUGGCACUUCUGAAGAUAAUAUAGUUCUUCAUCGGUGUCAUCGAUCUCAUUGCUGGAAUAACAUCUACUGAAGGGGGACAAUUACCGGCAACAGAGAGGAAACACAAUCAAUGCAAUGCAACAAUAUGAUGCAUGAAUGUGACAUGGCAAUAUGCUAUGAUUUGAGCUAAUGCAGCUAGCAACGAUUUAAAUGGAGUUGGUUUGAACACUAGAUUCAAAUUUGAAUUCCACAUGAGGCAUUUCAAAUACCAUUAAUUGAAAUUGUCAUAUACAGUGGCUGUAAGUUGUUAAAACAUGCAUGAGAAUGCCAUAAACAGAUUCUUCAUAUUUUUCUGAUAAUGUUUCAUAUAUAAAUUAUCUCAUUUGGAGUUACGGUUUAUUUUCUAUGAUUUUUAGAAGUUUAAACAAUUUUCUCGAAUUUCCUGAAUAAGAAUAAUCCAGAAAAUGAGUUACUGCAUCAGCAUUGCGUCAGCUGGUCAACUGGGGCGGUCCAGGUCAAACCUGACCAGUGGGACCCAUUGGUCAGUGACUCAGAGCUGGUUUGGGUGGAUGACAGGUGGGACCGGUCAACGCUGACUUGGUCAAAGUCUAACUGACACGUGGGGUCCGCAAGAUUAGCACUAAUCUAAACCGAAGUUAAACUAACCUAAACACGCAUAGGGGCCCACAUGGCAGUGGCUCCGAGGGGUCAGUUAGGCGCUAAUGACAGUGCCACGUCACCAGCCACCGGAGUUGGACGUCGGCGACCUCACAGUGCGGCGGCGGCUUGCCGGAAUCGCGCUGUGGCCGUCGGCUGGAAGUGCCCAGGGCAUCGGGCGAUAGCCCUUGCUCCCGUGCAUCUAGCGGAGGCAGCAGCAGGAUACGGGGUCACUGGAAUCGACGCCGGCGACGAGCCGAGCGGCGGCCGGAGCUACGGGCAUGAAGCAAUCGGCGCUAGGGUGAGGGAAACGGCAGGAUUUUGUUGUCUACGACGUCUACGCAACCUCACUAGGCCUCUAGGAACACGCUCCCGACCAUAAGGUCACCGGAGCAUCAACGGCGUGGAGCUCGGGCGGCGGUGCUCCUCGGCUUCCAUGAAAACGGCGGCCAGAGCUCGAAAUCGAGCACGGGAGUAGGGGGAAAAUGAUGCGGGGCCCACAUGGAGGUCGUUGAGCUUCUCAGCGGCUCGGGGGAGGCGUCGACGGUGACGAACAGGCGCCGGCGAUCUCGGCGGCUGAAGGUUGAAGAUGACCGCGGCGGUGAGGACGUUCGGGGCGUCCGGCGACGCGUGGUUCGGUGGGGACGUCGAGGACGAAGAGGCGGAGCUUCUUGGCACAGUGAGAGGGCGAGGGAGGUACGGUGGUCAGGCGGGCGGCAGCUGGAGAAGGGGCAGAGGAGAGGGAGAGAGUGCAGCGAGUGAGGGAGAGGAGAGAGGGGGCUUCGAGCCAUCUCCAGGCGCGGGAUUGGGUUGACGGAGAGCGCGACACGACGAAGCAGGAGGUGGCGCAGCGCGUGCGUGCGCGCGGCGACCACGCGUUUGUCCUUCUGUCCAGGGAGGAAGACGACAGGGAGGCUGCGGUGGUGGGUUGGGCCAGGAAAAAGAACUGGGCCGGCUCUGCUGCAGGUAAGCGCCAGGUAAGUCUUUCUCUCCUCUGUCUUUUAUUCAUUUGUUUUCUAUUUUCUAUUUCUGCUACUGUUUUUGAAUUUGGUUUGCUAACCAAAUUAUUUUUGCAGCUUCUGGAGAUUAGUGUGGAUGAUAGAUGCAUUAUUACAGGGCCCCACACAUAAUUCCAGAAUUAUCGGAGCAAUAAAUAAUAUGCAUAGCAUUUAGUUGCUCCAAUUCAAAUACUUAAUGAAUUCAUUCAAAAAUCCAGAUAUGUCCUAAAAAUAUGUGCAUCAUUUUUGGCAGAGGUAGCCACCUUAACCAAAAAUUAUGAACUUUUCUCAAGGCAUUUUGGAUUCUUUGAAAAUCAUUUUAAGUUGAGCCUAUUUGAUUUAAUUUGGUGCUAGGGUUUGUUCAUCCCCAAUUCAGAUUUAAAUGAAAUUUAGACAUGAUGCAGCAACCAAGCUAGUCCAAGUGCAUAGCAAGGCUAGGGACGUGACAAGAGGCUCAGUGCUCGAAGAGUGUCAUGUAUCCCGAUUGUAAGAACAAUGUUAUUUGAAUUAUAAAGGCUAUGUUUAUACUUUUGCCUGAAAGUACUAUUAUGCCUCCUGUGCGGUCGUUUAUGUAUAUAUAUAUAUCUUGAAAGUUUGCAGUCGUCGGCUUCAGCCCCCACGCAUAUAAUGCGGGGGUGUUCGCAAAAGCGCGUCUUCACACUUGAUCCAACGUCUUGGUCCAUUAAGGAGGUGGUAGCGCGGUGAACGAGGCAAUCGGACUAUAUUGCUUUAACGCUUUCACUUAACCAUAGGAGUUUGACAGUGGGGCUACUAUAUAGCCCCUGGUAUUUCUGCGGCUAUCCGAAUACGGUGUGCGUACAUACAUGACCAGGAAAACCGGUCCUUCGUUAAUGCGGAGGAAUCCCGAAGAUUCCGAUGAGUCACUGAGUGGUUGACCAGUCUCACGCUUUAUCAUGACAGUCAGUUUUCGGCUUUCUCUACUGAGGUGCUCGUCCAGAUGAACCAGGGCACAAUCGCAGUAGUUCUCCCGGUGCCACCUUAGCCGAUGGAACGAAACAUAAGGUAGCAAAACAUAGGAGCUGGGCAAAACCAACAUUUGACCAAAGACAUGAUUCGGAGCUGAUGCAUAUAAGGCCAAACUCGUGACGCCGAACACUACCUAAGGUAUUCGGUCUUUAUAAUAUAUACUGGGCUGAGUAACACCCUUGAACCCUGAAUUUCCAGGUACGUGCAUUGGUCUGACGUGGCGAAAUGCCAAUAACGCCAGCGUCCCUCUCGGUUGUGUUGAGUAUCCGGAGGGUGUGAAGCAACAAGAGACAGUAAGAAAGGUUUACAUAGGGUCUUAAUCUAAAAAGAAACCUUUUAGCGAGGCCCUGCUACACGUCUGCGCCUGUGUCUCCGUUGUGCCGUAUCCUGGAAGGGUGUAGCACGAUUAUCAUCUGUUAAAAGAGAAGAACUUAGAUGAAAUUUUGCGUGCGAAAAAUUGGUUGUUCUUAAUAAACCAUUAAAAUUCAAGAUGAGUAAGGUCGAGCCGAACUGUAGUCCUUUUUACAUGCGGGAAGCCCCUGGUACCGCCUAUGGGGGUAUAUCCAUCAAACCAAUCUCAGGUUUAUCUAAGCUGUUACAGCUAAUGGUGCGCCGGACUCGUCUAGCCGUGUCCGCGGUCUUGACGACCGAUCGUUUACUCUUGGUUGGAGAGGCCGUUUAGUGUUCGGCUGCUAAAGCCGCCACACGCUCUUCCGUGCGUAAGGAACACUCAACAUUUUCGCUAACUGUAAUGAUGCCACGUGGACCGGGCAUCUUAAGCUUAAGAGAAGCGUAAUGCAGUACUGCAUUAAAAUGAGCAAAAGCUGUUCUUCCGAGUAGUGCUUGAUAGCCGCUUCGGAAUGGAGUGAUGUCGAAGGUUAAUUUUUCACUUCGGAAGUUGUCGGGAGAACCGAAUACAACCUCUAGUACUAGAGAGCCCGUACAGCAGGCCUCUGGGCCUGGUAUUACUCCUUUAAAGGUAGUAUUGCUUUGGCUGAUUCUUGUCGGGUCUAUCCCCAUUUUGCGGACUGUGUCCUGAUAUAUCAGAUUAAGACUACUACCGCCGUCCAUAAGGACUCGGGUGAGAUGGUAUCCGUUGAUUAUUGGGUCAAGCACCAAGGCAGCCGAUCCUCCGUGCCGGACAUUGGUCGAGCUAUCCCUGCGAUCAAAAGUGAUCGGGCAAGUUGACCAAGGGUUGAACUUUGGGGUGACGGGCUCUACGGCGCAUUCGUCUCAGAGUGCGUGUUUGCUCUUCCUCUCCGUCGCGUGAAUCAUGUUCACUGUUUUGACUCUGGUGGGAACGUUUUCUGUCCCCCAGUGUUUUGCGGACGAGGCUCAUCCUCCUCUUCACUUGGUGUCUCCCUCCCCUUGUGUUCGGCGUUUAGCUUGCCGGCCUGCUUGAAGACCCAACAUUCUCUGUGGGUGUGAUUUGCAGGUUUAUCGGAGGUGCCGUGAAUCUCACAUAAUUUGUCUAGAAUCUUGUUGAGGUUGGACGGUCCAUCUCUGUUGCCUUUGAAAGGCUUUUUUUGUUGACCGGGUCGAGAGCCCCUAAAUCCGGCGUUUACCGCCGUGUUGUCUGGGUUGUCUUCGUUAUUCCGACGCUUGCUUUUAUUACGUCGUGGUUUUCCAUUACCAUCCCUGACUUCAGAUGUGCCUGGGUCGCUAGUGCUACUAUGGGCCAGCCAGCUAUCUUCGCCCGCGCAAAAGCGGGUCAUAAGGCUUGUUAGGGCUGCCAUUGUCCUUGGUUUUUCUUGGCCGAGGUGUCUGGCAAGCCAUUCGUCUCGGACGCUGUGUUUGAAAGCUGCUAAGGCUUCGGCGUCUGGGCAGUCGACGAUUUGGUUCUUCUUAGUGAGAAAUCUGUUCCAAAGCUUUCGGGCUGACUCUCCGGGCUGUUGAAUUAUAUGACUUAAAUCAUCUGCAUCCGGAGGUCGGACAUAGGUCCCUUGAAAGUUGGACCUAAAAGCAUCCUCAAGCUCCUCCCAACUUCCAAUUGAAUUUUCUGGGAGGCUCUUCAGCCAGUGCCGAGCUGGUCCUUUCAGCUUGAGGGGCAAGUAUUUGAUGGCGUGGAGAUCGUCUCCUCGAGCCAUAUGGAUGUGGAGGAUGAAGUCCUCAAUCCAGACCCUAGGGUCCGUCGUUCCGUUGUACGCCUCUAUGUUCACGGGUUUGAAUCCCUCUGGAAAUUCGUGAUCCAGCACCUCAUCGGUGAAACAUAGGGGGUGCGCAGCACCCAUGUAUUUGGAUGUGUCAUGGCGUUCUGACGGUUGUAGUGUUCGGUUUUGAUUAUGCGCUGGAGCACACUUCCUAGAUCCGUAGAUGGAUCUGGUCACGCCGGCUUUUUGACGCAAGUCCUUGCGUGGAUCAUGUGCUGACUUAUGUGCGGCCUCGUUAGCCGCUCUAUCGCGGCCACGAGGUGGUCGAUCCGACGGGUCGGCCGUUUUAUUUUUCGGCUGUGUGGGAUCUAAGGCCUUAUCAUCGAAUUCAGGCAACAACUUGCGCUUUGGAUAGCUCUUUGUGUGGCAACUACCACCAUACUUUUCUUCAGUGUCGAGCACUUUGUUCCAUCUACUGUUGAGCGUAUUCUGCGCAGCCUUUGCUUCUGCUUCUUCAGACUCCUCGCGGUGGCAAUAAGCCUUCUACGGAGGUUCUCUUGUUCCAAGUGCCUUUCCGGGAUGAUGUGUGCGUCAUCGUCCGGACUGUUUUCCUCUCCGGAGAGAGGUUGAUGAGAUUUAUCCUCGGCGUCGAUGUGAUCGGACAGCGGCUCCGUACUAUGUUCGCUGUUCGCUGGUUCAUCUUGCUCUAUCACUGGGUCAAUGUGGUCGUCGCUUCCUCUGGAGUCGACCGGGGUGUUAUUUUUUCUUGCGCUGUUAUCGCUGUUUUUGCCGAGGCGGGAUUUGGAGCGGCGCCUACGCUGUCGCUUUGGUUGCUUCUCAAGGGAGCUAUCCUUCGCAGCAUCCUUCCGUUCCUCAUCAUUGUUUUCUUUGGGAGUAUCCACCAUAUAUACAUCGUGUGAUGAAGUGGCUGUCCAGCGCCCUGUGGGCGGUGGUUCCUGUUCGUCUCCUGCAUCGUCGUCCAUACCGUCGAUGUCUUCGGAGCCGAAAUCGAGCAUGUUGGUUAGAUCGUCGACAGUGGCUACUAAGUGGGUGGUGGGUGGGGAGCGAAUUUCUUCGUCGUCCGCAUCCCAUUCUAGCCGGACAUAGUUCGGCCAAGGGUCUCCUGACAGGGAGAGAGACCUCAACGAGUUUAGCACGUCGCCAAAGGGCGGGUGCUGAAAGAUAUCCGCGGAGGUAAACUCCAUGAUCGGUGCCCAAUCGGAUUCGAUAGGCACGGACGCAGGUGGUUCGGGGCCUGUGGCCAGGGAUGAAUCCGAGGAUCCGGCGAUACAGGUCGCAUAGGAGGUGAAGUUAGUAUUCGGCUCUAUCGCCACUGAGUGUGUGGCCUCCGAAGCGGGGUCCAUCCACCCGUCCUCGGACGGCGUAAUCGACUCCGGAGCUAGGGCCAGAGUAGGCAUAGGUGUGCUCUCCCGAACACCGUCCGGCGACAGAGCUAAGUCGUGCUCGUCGUGACUGUGCGGCGCACCUGACAUGGGCUCGAAUCCGUCAAAGAUCAAAUCUCCGCGGAUGUCGGCAGCAUAGUUCAAGUUUCCAAACCUGACCUGAUGGCCAGGGGCGUAGCUCUCGAUCUGCUCCAGAUGGCCAAGCGAGUUGGCCUGGAGUACGAAGCCGCCGAAUACGAAGAUCUGUCCGGGGAGGAAAACCUCACCCUGGAUCGCAUUGUUGCCGAUGAUCGAAGGGGCCAUCUAGCCUUACGGUGACGGCAUAGUGGAACUUUCAAUGAAAGCACCAAUGUCGGUGUCAAAACCGGCGGAUCUCGGGUAGGGGGUCCCGAACCGUGCAUCUAAGGCGGAUGGUAAUAGGAGGCGGGGGACACGAUGUUUACCCAGGUUCGGGCCCUCUCGAUGGAGGUAAUACCCUACUUCCUGCUUGAUUGAUCUUGAUGAUAUGAGUAUUACAAGAGUUGUCUACCACGAGAUCGUAGAGGCUAAACCCUAGAAGCUAGCCUAUGGUAUGAUUGUUGUUGUCCUACGGACUAAACCCUUCGGUUUAUAUAGACACUGGAGGGGGCUAGGGUUACACAGAGUCGGUUACAAGGGAGGAUAUCUACAUAUCCGUAUUGCCAAGCUUGCCUUCCACGCCAAGGAGAGUCCCUUCUGGACACGGGACGAAGUCUUCAAUCUUGUAUCUUCAUAGUCCAACAGUCCGGCUGUCCGAGGACCCCCUAAUCCAGGACUCCCUCAUCCGCCGCCGUUCGCAUGCAGCUGCCAGCUCAACCAGCUGAGCAGGCACCUGCGUGGCAACAUGCAGCUCCCAGGCCAACUCAUCAAGCGCCUACGUGGCGGCAUGCAGAUCUUCGUGAAGGUUCCACCACCGCGCCACCUCAGCUGCCUGCCUGCCUACAUGGCGCCGCACACAUCGCUGGCCAGGGCGCGUGUCGAAGCGAGGAGGAGCGGCGACGGACGGGACGGGCCUCGCCCCCGUCCCCGAUAAAGCUAGGGGACACCUCAGCGGUACAUUAAAUGCGUCUUGUCCUGUAAUACGAGCGAUAAGCUCGCAAUACUGUACGCCUUUCCACCUCCUGUAUGCCACUGUGGCAGCCCCUUUCGACUAUAAAAGGAGGCCCAUCGCAUACUGGAGAAGGAUUCGGCUCUUCCGAACCACGCACCCACCAUAGCUAGUUCGAGAGCUCGAGAACUCUCUGAAAUACAUCCACCAAAGCAGGACUAGGGUUUUACGCAUCCUCGCGGCCCGAACCUGGGUCAACGAUCCUUGUGCCGAUUACUAAUCCUGCUCUUCUCGCAACCCUGCGCCCGGGCAACCGUAGUAGGGAUUCUUGUGAUCCCAUAGGUGUCAUUCCACACCGACAUCUUUGGCGCGCCAGGUAGGGGGCGCAAUUGUGAGAAUCUGGUCUAGUGGUCGGCCUGGCAGUUCUUUAUCGCCAUGGCUCCCAAGAAGAAGACGACCACGGCGAUCGGCUCGUUGGCAGCUGAACGUCCCGUGCCAGUGCGGACGAGCAGCGGGCUGGUCGCGGACAGGACCCGGGCCGCGGUCCGCGAGCACCAGCAUGGCCCUGGCAGUCAGAGCCUGGCGAGCGGCGUCGUCCGCGCGCCAGACGACCGGACGCACGUCGCCAGAUCCAAAGACGGAGCUGGCCCCCCCGCAGGCGGCACGAGGCCCUCCAGGAGUGUUGUUGUGCCACCCCCGGGCGGUGCAGCAACCUCCAGGAUGCCCACGCCGGCGCCCAUGGCGCGCUCUUCCCAGGGUGCGCGCAACGAGCAGCGUCGCCGUGCUAAAGACCCCGGACACCGCAGUGGGAAGAGCCCUGUGCAUCGUCCGCGGGACGAAGGAGUUCAGCAUGCCCGCCAAAGUGCUGGUGAAAAUGGCGCGCAGCCGCUGGGUCGUGAUAGAGCUCCUUCUAACGUGGUUAGAAGUCGAAGCGCACCACGGUCCACGCAGCUGUCGCCGCCACCCACGCCAGCAGAAGCUUUGGCGCACGCGCAGCUGCACCUCGACUUCCCUCCUGCUGCGGAGAAGCUUGAUGAGUGGAGGGCCACCAUCCGGAGCCUCGUCGCCGUCGCCAACAAAGAUGAUCCGCGACCGGCGGGACCCUCGGGCCGGCGCCCCACCGAGCCACCACAUGCCAGCGCUGGGAGGACCGGGGGUGCUGCGGUUACGGCGUACUCUCCCCCUCCUCGCCAGCCGCCGCGGGUGUCGGCCCGUCGUGACGACGCUUGUGAUAACAUCUCCAUAGCGUCGUCCGACCCGCGGACCCGCCGCGACCAGCGCCAAGUUCUUCGAGAACGAGCUCACGAAGAUGCUCGAACCACUAUCGAGCGCCGGCGUGAUACACGCCACCAGUCAGACAAGCGGGCGGGACCCGCUAUGGACCACCCAGCGCCGGGGGGCUCCGGCGGCCUACCUUACGAGGUGGGCUGCCCAGCCUUUACCCGUGAGCUGCGGCAGUUCCAGUGGCCGCCCCACCGCACGUUCAAGCCCAACGUCAGCGAGAAGUAUACUGGCAAGACCCAUCUGUCCGAGUUCCUCAGCAUCUACACCAUCGCGAUGCAGGCUGCCGGAUCUCGCGAUGACAAGGUGCUUGCCAAUUACUUCCCGUUGGCACUGAAGCCCAAUGUUAUGUCUUGGUUGAUGCACUUGCCGACAGAUUCCAUUUCUUCUUGGUCGGAUAUGUGCCAUGAGUUCGUUGGCGCCUUCACUGGGGGCCACCAAGCUCAUGGCCAGGCCAGUGAUCUGCAUAUCAUUCCCCAGAAGGAAGGGGAAACCCUGCGCAAGUACAUCUAGAGAUUCAACCGAGUGUAGUACAACAUCCCCGACAUUCAUCCCGCCGCUGUGAUCAGCGCGUUCCAUCAAAACGUGCGCAAUCGCAAGAUGCACGAAGAGCUAGCGAUGACCAAGGUUAAGGAUGUGGCCGAACUCUAUGUUCUGGCCGACAGGUGCGCCCGGGCUGAAGAGGGAAGGAAGUACCCCGGCAAUGACGCCGGCGCGAAAACCGACUCUACCGACAAAGACACUGCCGCCCCGACGAAGAAGGGCCGGCGUCGCAAUAGGAAACACAAGGGCAAGGCCGUGCUUGCCGUUGAAGGGUCUGACGACACCGGCUCUGCCAAGAAGGUCAGGGCAGACGACCCCGGCAAGGAGAUUGCCGGGUGCGUCGCCUGCCGGGCCUUAGUAGCUGCAAGCAGUACUGCAAGAUCCACCGCACCAAAGGCCACGACCUCCAGAACUGCUAGCAAGUCGAGCUGCUUGCUGAAAAGCAAAAGGCCGAGUAUGAGAGGCGGGACAAGGAGAAGGGCCAGGACAGCGCCGAGGGAUCCGGCAAGAAGCGUGGCGGCCAAGGAGGCCGCCGCGACAAGGACAACCAACAAGAGAGGCCCGCCCGGGGCCGUGACCAGAAGCAAGAAGACGAUGAUCAUGACGAGGACGACGAGUCCGGCGAGCAAGAGUUCCAGAAGGCUACUGAGGCCAUGUGCGUCGACGGUGGCGCCUCGCUGCAUACUUCUCACCGCCAGCUCAAGUAGUGGGCGCGAGAGGUUACAGCAGCGGAGCCGUCGUUCGACGCACAGAAGCCGCUGAAGUGGUCCAGCACGCCCCUCAUCUUUGACGCCGAGGACCACCCUGACCGCACAACCGCGGUCGGGUGUUUGCCGUAGUUGGUCUCCCCAACGAUACACAACCUCAAGGUGAACAAGAUGUUGGUCGACGGCGGGGCCGGCCUGAACUUGAUCUCGCCCGUCGUGGUCAAAAGGCUGCAAAUCCCUGAUGGAGACCUUGAGGAAACGGGCACGUUUCAAGGGGUCAAUCCAAGGAGGAGCCAGCCAAAGGGGAAGGUCACGCUGCCCGUGACGUUUGGAGGAGAGUUGAACCAUAGGACGGAGAUGAUCGUCUUCGACGUGGCCGAGAUCCCCUUGCCCUACAACGGGAUUCUCGGCCGCCCGGCACUAGCCAAGUUCAUGGCGGCGUCGCACUACGCCUACAACAUGCUAAAGAUGCCCGGGCCGUUGAGUAUCAUCUCCGUCCCCUCCGAUAAGAAGGACGCGCUGAUUUGCGCUGACCAACUCUACUGGGAAGCAGAUGCAGCAGCUGCCGCCAAGGCACUUGCUCCUGCCGCUAAAGCCCCGGGAGGGAAGAAGGAGACAGGCAAGACCUCUCGCACCCACUCCGGCAAGCGCACCUCCUCGGAGUGUUGUGCUACCAUCGAGGACGUGCCAGAGAGCUCUACCGGCAAGAGUAAGAAAUCCAGAGCUGAGCCACCGCAGACCAAGAAGGUAUCUGUCAGGGAGGAUGGCACGGGAGGGGCUUUCACCAUAGGCUCCCCCCUCGACAGCAAAUAGGAAGGCGCGCUCGUCACCUUUCCGCGGGCGAAUGUCGACGUGUUUGCAUGGCAAGCAUCCGACAUCCCCGGUGUUCCCAGGGAGGUGAUUGAGCACCACCUAGCUAUCUGUCCUCAUGCGUGGCCCGUCAACCAUAAGGUCAGAAAGCAGGCUCUGGAGAGGCAGGAGUUCAUCAUAGAGGAGAUCAGGAAGUUGGAAGCAGCGGGUUUGGUGAGAGGAGUGCUCCAUCCGACGUGGUUGGCCAAUCCGGUGGUGGUGCGCAAGGAAAAUGGGAAGUGGAGGCUGUGUAUUGACUACACAGACAUCAAUAAGGCUUGUCCUAAGGACCCCUUCCCAUUGCCGCGCAUCGACCAGAUUGUCGACUCCACGGCGUGUGAUCUGCUGUCAUUCCUCGACGUCUACUGAGGCUACCACCAAAUCUUUAUGUCGAGAGAAGACAACAUUCAUCACCCCAUGUGGUACGUAUUGCUUUUUACGGAUGCCUUUCGGGUUGAAGAGUGCUGGCUCGACGUUUGCAAGGGCAGUCCAAAUUGGUUUUGAACCCCAGCUCCAUAGAAAUAUGGAGGCAUACAUGGAUGACAUAGUGGUCAAAACCAAGGACGGGGCAACCCUUGUGCAAGAUCCGGAAGAGACGUUUGCCAACCUGCGCAAGAUCAACCUUAAGCUGAAUCCUGAGAAGUGUGUCUUCGGCGUUCCGUCCGGCAAGCUUCUCGGAUUCUUUUUGUCACAACGCGGGAUCGAGGCAAAUCCAGACAAAAUCAAAGCUAUUGAACAGAUUGAGGCACCCAAGUCGAUCAAGGAUGUGCGUAGGCUCACCGGCUGCGUCACUGCCAUGAGCCGUUUCAUCUCCAAGUCCUCCAAGCGCGCCCUCCCCUUCUUCAAAAUCUUGAAGAAGGCAGGUCCGAUGGAGUGGACCCCAGAAGCCGAGGCGGCAUUGCAGGAUCUGAAGAAAUACCUUUCCUCCACGCCAAUACUGGUUGCGCCUAAGCCACAAGAACCGUUGCUGCUGUACCUAGCGGCAACGAAUCAAGUGGUCAGCGCCGCACUGGUGGCACAGAGGGAGGUCGACGAGGAGGCAGUGGCGACAAUAGAACCAGCGGACGGCGACCCAAAGAUUCCCCUGGCAGGACCUGGUGCUGGCAAGGCAAGGCCCCUGACAGAGUCCGACGCCGUCAGGGCAACACCCGCAAAGUCCAGCGAAGCGGUGCAGAAGAAGAAGAUGAAGCAGCACCCGGUUUACUUUGUCAGCUCCCACUUGCAGGGGGCUAGGUCGAUGUAAUGCCCCAAGACCGACGCUCCAGACGCCUUCCAUGUUUUUCGAGUUUUGUCGUGUGUAUUUAUUUGUUUGUUGCAUUCAUCAUCGCAUCAUCCGCAUUGCAUCCGCAUGUUUUCUUAAAACUCGUAGUCGUUUGUAGUUGCCGCUUCUCUCUUUGUCUCUGUUUAUCUUUUGUCAAGCCCUCUUGUCUUCGUCGACCUCUCUCAAACCCCCUCGUGCGCGUCCGAAACUGCUCCGAACCAGAACCGGGCUGUCGUUAGCGAUGGGUCCGGAUCAUCCCCAAAAUAUUUUCAGUUUCUUCUUUGAACUUCCCUAACUAUUUUUUCUUAACCCUCGGAUCUAAAUCGUGCUGUCCAGAUAGCACCGAGCCUAGUCUACUCGCUAUAUAUAUCCGGGCAAAAACCUAGACUAGGCCGUCCCAUCCAGCCAUUCCAUCCCACCGCCGCCACCCACCCGCCUCUUCUCGAUCUCCCCACCAGUCCAACCAUUGCACUACGACAAGGUUCCUCUUUCCUUGGGAUCCUGCCCGAUCCACCCAACCAGUGCAUCCCUUCAGAUCCAUCCUUCCCGUGCCCCUCUCGAUCCAGGAGCCCGUGCACCCCUGCAUGAGGCUGCCGUCUUUUUUUUUGACUGUACACAGUAGGGAAAAAACCCCACUGCAAUUUUUUUGUUUAUAUUAAUCUAAAAAAGUAAAGUCCCAGGAAGGAACCAAAGUACAAAAAGGCUUGAGAUAAGCCAAGAAAGAAGACAAAAGAAAGAGGAAAGGAAAAAAACACUAACACCUAAGAAACAAGGAUUACAUGACAAGAUUAUCCAGCCAAAAACAGUAUGCUCCAGCAUAGCUCUUUUUAAUUCUGAAUCUGAGAAGAGAGAGCUCCUCCAUGAAGAUGGCUUUCCACCUUUGAAUGCUGGGUUGAAUGUUUUGGAAAAUCAUGUUGUUCCUGGAGAUCCAAAUAGCCCAAGAGGCAAGGAUGACUAUCUCCAUGAAGAAAGGUACAUGAAGUUUCUGUUUGAGAUCAAGAAAAGCUUCCAUGAUUGAAACAUUUGCCUGUCUUGAAGGGCAGAUCAGAUCCCAACACUGUGCAGCAAAAGGGCAAGUCCAGAAAAGGCUGCCGUCUUCGACCGGUCUCGUCGGAGACCAGCGCCCCGCUGCCUUCUCCUUCCUGUUUGAUCCGGAGGAGAGGAGCUCCUCCAUGCUCCUCCUCGCGCCGAUGGCCGCCGGCCACCCGUGUAGCAGCAGCUCCAUGUCGGAGCUCCAUCACCACUCGUUGCCCCUCGCCGGAGCAAUACCAGCAGGACCAGCCCCGUCGCUCCUCUCCUUCCUUCCUCCACUUCUUCUCUCUCGCUCCCUCUGAUGGUGUCGCGACGCCGCCGUUUUGUAGGAGCCUGCCGCCCAUGGAUCUCCUGGAGGUCCCCGUCGCCUCCGCCUCGUUCUAGGGAGGGAAGCCCUCAAGCCCGCUCCUCCCGUCUGCCCGAGCGCCGCCGCCUCGCGACCCUGCAUCCCUCGCCGCCGGCCUCUGCUUCCCCUGCAUCCUCUGCUUCGAGCAGGAGGACGAGACGGCCCCCGACCCCUGCCUCGCCUUAGUUCUCGCCGGGUCGCCGUCUCACCGCCGGAUCCCGUCGUCCCCGCCACCCACUUGUCGCCGGAGGUCCCCUCCUCGCCAAGUCCCUCACCGCGCCACCUCCCUGCUUCGCUCCUGCACGAGCAGGACGACGAGCAUACACUGCCGCCGCGCGUUGACCUGCGCCUGGGUCGCGUCCUGCACGCCAAGACCCAGCGCCUCUACAGCCGGCCCAAUGUGAGCAGCCGCCCAGCCCCUCCUCUCUGUUGGCCCAACAUGCACCAGAUUUGGCCUGCCAUGUUUUUUUUUGCUCUGGACGAAUUCCUCUAUUAUUCCAGAGACUGCAGUUUUACAGAAAAGUCCCUAGUCUUCAUGCAUAUAAUAACUCAUCAACCGUGCAUCAUAUCAAAAUGUUUUAUAUAUGUAACUUGCUUAGAAUUUUGCCUAGUUUCAUAAUAUCCAGCUUUCACCCAUGUUAAAAAUGUUUAAACUUGCUGUUUGCUUUAAUUUUUGCAUAAAUGCUAUGCUAAAAUGAUUUAUUUCAUAACUAAAUAACCGUAGCUCCAUUUUAAGUAAACUUUAUAUGUAAAUGGGGUAGAAAAAUGCCUAGUUUAACUUGGUGCACUUUAUUUUGCUGUUUAACAACAUUAAAAUUGUGUUUAUGGCAGAACAGUAGCAAAUUCGAAAUAUGCAAAUGAGGAUUUUCCGGAAUUGUUGUUUGUUGUUUCGGCCUCAUUUAAACUUGCCUAAAUAGUUAGUUUACUUAUGCUUCACCUCUUGCCAUGUUAACCAACAUUUAAUAUUGAUGAGUAGCAUAAACAAGAGCGAACUAAAUAACUUGAAUGUGGUGUUUAGUCAAUAUGCAACUCGUUGCAUAUUGAGCUCCACCUAAUUUGUAGUAUUGUUUGUGCACCUUGCCAUGCCAUGCCUCUUUAAAUGGACUUGCAUCAUACUUGAUUGUGCAUCAUGCCAUGUUUAUGUGAUGGUUGUUUACCAUGUUGUUUGCUUCUUUCCGGUUGUGCUUCUCCUUGAUAGUUCCGGUUACGUUGCGAUUGUGAGGAUUCGUUCGACUAUGUCCGUUUGUCUUCUUCAUGGACUCGUUUUUCUUCCUUGCGGGAUCUCAGGCAAGAUGACCAUACCCUCGAUAUCACUUCUAUCUUUGCUUGCUAGUUGUUCGCUCUAUCGCUAUGUUCGCGCUAUCUACCACCUGUUUAUCAUGCCUACCAUAUUGCCAUGUCAAGCCUCUAACCCACCUUCCUAGCAAACCGUUGUUUGGCUAUGUUACCGCUUUUGCUCAGCCCCUCUUAUAGCGUUGCUAGUUGCAGGUGAAGAUGAAGUUUGUUCCAUGUUGGAACAUGAUUAUUUUGGGAUAUCACAAUAUCUCUUAUUUAAUUAAUGCAUCUAUAUACUUGGUAAAGGGUGGAAGGCUCGGCCUUAUGCCUGGUGUUUUGUUCCACUCUUGCCGCCCUAGUUUCCGUCAUACCGGUGUUAUGUUCCUUGAUUUUGCGUUCCUUACGCGGUUGGGGAUUUAUGGGACCCCCUUGACAGUUUGCUUUGAAUAAAACUCCUCCAGCAAGGCCCAACCUUGGUUUUAACAUUUGCCACCUAAGCCUUUUUCCCUUGGGUUCUGCAGACUCAAGGGUCAUCUUUAUUUUAACCCCCUGGGCCAAUGUUCCUCUGAGUGCUGGUCCAGACCGGGCGAUGUCCGGCGCCCCCUGGGCAACCAGGGUCUAUGCCAACCCGACGUCUUGCCCAUCCGGUGUGCCCUGAGAACGAGAUACGUGCGACUCCUAUCGGGAUUUGUCGGCACAUCGGGUGGCUUUGCUGGUCUUGUUUUACCAUUGUCGAAAAGUCUUGUAACCGGGAUUCUGAGACUGAUCGGGUCUUCCCGGGAGAAGGAAUAUCCUUCGUUGACCGUGAGAGCUUGUGAUGGGCUAAGUUGGGACACCCCUGUAGGGUAUGAACUUUCGAGAGCCGUGCCCGCGGUUAUGUGGCAGAUGGGAAUUUGUUAACAUCCGGUUGUAGAGAACUUGACACUUGACUUAAUUAAAAUACAUCAACCGCGUGUGUAGCUGUGAUGGUCUCUUUUCGGCGGAGUCCGGGAAGUGAACACGGUUCUUGUGUUAUGCUUGAAUGUAAGUAGUUUCAGGAUCACUUCUUGAUCACUUCUAGUUCACGACCGUUGCGUUGCUUCUCUUCUCGCUCUUAUUUGCGUAUGUUAGCCACCAUAUUUGCUUAGUGCUCGCUGCAGCCCCACCUCUUUACCCCAUCCUACCCAUAAGCUUAAAUAGUCUUGAUCUCGCGGGUGUGAGAUUGCUGAGUCCUCGUGACUCACCAGAUACUUCCAAACAGUUGCAGUUGCCGAUGAUACCAGUGCAGAUGACGCAACCGAGCUCAAGUGGGAGCUCGAUGAAGAACUUGGUCGUUACUAUGUUUCGUUUCCUGAUGAUCAGUAGUGGAGCCCAGUUGGGACGAUCGGGGAUCUAGCAUUUGGGGUUGUCUUCUUUUAUUUUGGUUCCGUAGUCGGACCUUGAUUGUACUCUGAUGAUGUAUGUUUAAUUCAUGUAUUGUGUGAAGUGGCGAUUGUAAGCCAACUCUUUAUCCCUUUCUUAUUCAGUACAUGGGAUUGUGUGAAGAUGACCCUUCUUGCGACAAAACCACGAUGCGGUUAUGCCUCUAAAUCGUGCCUCGACACGUGGGAGAUAUAGCCACAUCGUGGGCGUUACAGUCGAGGUACUCCGGUGUGCAGAAAUUGCUCUUCGGCCUCCUUAUGGCCUCGAGGAAGCUGCGUCAUUACUUCCAAGCCCACGAGAUCACUGUCGUCACCCGCCUCCCGCUACAACAGAUACUGCACAACCCAGAUGCGACCAGAAGGAUUGUGGAAUGGGCCUUGGAGUUGUCAAGCUUUGGGUUGAAGUUUGAAAGUACUUCAACAAUCCAGAGCAGAAUCUUGGCAGAGUUCAUUGCAGAAUGGACCUCAACACCCGACGAAGAAAUCCAAGAGACCGUUCUCCUCGGCAAGGAAGCGGACCGUGACUGGAUCAUGUACUUUGAUGGGGCUUUGUCGCUGCAAGGCGCCGGUGCCGGUGUGCUGCUUGUCGCACCCACCGGAGAGCACCUCAAGUAUGUGAUACAGAUGCACUUUCCCAGGGAGAUGUCCACAAACAACACUGUGAGUACGAGGGGCUGCUUGCCGGUCUCAGGAUCGCGGCGGACCUCGGGGUGAAGAAGCUCAUCGUCAGGGGUGACUCACAGCUUGUCAUCAGACAGGUCAACAAGGAUUACCAGAGCCAUUGAUGGAGGCCUACGUAGAUGAAGUGAGGAAGCUAGAGGAGCGCUUUGACGAUAUCCAGGUGGAGCACGUUCCCCGAGCGGAGAACGACAUCGCCGAUUACCUGUCGAAGCAUGCUGCAUUUAAGCUACCUGUGGAACCAGGUACCUUUUUGCUCCGGUUAACUCAGCCGUCCGUCGAACCAUCAACAGGGCGGAACAAACGAAGGAAAUCAGGUCCCGGCGAGUACUUUCCUACCGAGCCCCCUGGGGCUGCCGGCAAGGAUGCUGCCGUGGAUGCCGAGCCUGCCAGAGAGCAACCGGCUCCGGCAGGGCGUCGAGCCUGGCCGUGGAGACAGCCGCUCCCAUGUCGGAGGAAAUGCCUUUGGUCCUUGCCGUCGAGCCCCAGGCUCCGGCGUGGGCACAGGAUACUGUCCGAUUCCUCCAAAUAGGGGAACUUCCUGAGGAGCAGGAAGAAGCGGAAAAAGUAGCCCGUCGGUCUGCCCUGUACCAGUUCGUCGAUGACGUCCUGUACAGGAAAAGGCCGAACAGUGUGAAAUUGAAGUGCAUCUCCCGGGAGGAAGGACUGGAGCUGUUGCCAGAGAUACAUGUAGGCAUAUGUGGCUCCCACAUAGGGUCGAGGGCCCUUGCCGGGAAGGCGUUCCGGCAAGGUUUCUUCUGGCCCACCGCCCUCCAGGAUGCGACGACACUAGUAACCAAGUGUGAAGCGUGUCAGUUCCAUUCAAAGAAGCUUCAUCAACCGGCUCAAGCCCUUCAAACGACCCCUCUCUCCUGGCCAUUCUCGGUCUGGGGGCUAGACAUACUGGGCCCUUUCCCCCGUGCUGUCGGGGGCUUUGAGUACUGGUACGUUGCAAUCGACAAGUUCACAAAGUGGCCAGAGGUGGAACCAGUGAGGAAGGUGAUAGCCCAGUCAGCCGUCAAGUUAUUCAAAGGACUAGUCUGCCGUUUUGGUGUGCCAAGCAGAGUCAUCACCGACAACAACACGCAGUUCACAAGCCACACCUUCAUGCAGUACAUUCAAGACCUCGGCAGCAAGGUCUGUUUUGCUUCCGUGGCACACCCCCGGAGCAACGGCCAAGCAGAGAGGGCAAACGCUGAAGUGUUGCGAGGCCUGAGAACGAAGACCUUUGACAGGAUGCACAAGAGCGGAAGGCGCUGGAUUGAUGAGUUGCCGGCGGUUCUUUGGUCAAUCAGGACGACGCCAAAUCGAGCCACCGGUCAGACACCCUUCGCCCUAGUAUAUGGGGCGGAGGCAGUUCUCCCCACGGAACUCAUAUACGUGUCACCUCGAGUGCUCGCUUAUGAUGAGCUUGAGCAAGAGCAGUUGCGGCAAGAUGACGCGACGCUCCUUGAGGAAGAUCGUCUUCGAGCGGCUGUGAGAGCAGCACGCUACCAGCAAGCCUUGCGCCGCUACCAUAGCCGCAAGGUUCGUUCCCGAAGCUUUGAGGAAGGCGACCUUGUUCUUCGGCGCGUUCAGUCGGCCAAGAAUUCCAACAAGUUGAAGCCGAAGUGGGAAGGCCCUUAUCGGGUAAUACGAGUCACCAGGCCCGGCGCAGUCUUCCUGGAGACCGAAGAUGCCGUUCUAGUGAGCAACUCCUGGAACAUUGAGCAUCUUCGCAAGUUUUACCCAUAAGGCGCGGCUUGCCGCCCCCCCAACAAGCCACCUUUUGUACAAGCCUUGCCCGCAAGGCAUGUAACCCUUUGUACAAAGCCAGGCGCAGACCCUGAGCACAAAUAAAUGAAGCGCUGGCGCCCUAAGUUAUAGCAUGCAUGCUAGGUCGAGUCUCUUCCUUGGUUAGGGUUGAUAGUGCUUAGCGGCGACUAACCCCUAGCCUACAGGUCGAGUGCGCGUCUCUCUGUUCUUUUCUGUCCUCCUUUGGUUCGCAGGGCACAUGAGCACUUCUGCUGAGCUACUUAGAAGAAAGAGAACGGACCGGCGUCCCGACCCCGGCAAACCAGAGUUGUCGGGGGCUGCAAGUACAAGGAUCCAACCGCGGUGAGACAAGGUUGCCGGGGGCUGCAGAUCCAGGUAAGUGUUUUAUCCUCUGUCAUGCAUUUCAAAACGGAACUGGGGCAUGUGAAACCUCGUUUUAUCUCCAAACUACCAUGCUCCCCUUUUUCCUAUACCUAAGGAUUAUCUCCUAGGUCUGGAUUUGGUUGUAGCCGCGGCGGCAAGGAGAUAGAAUGAGGAGCCUAAGCCCACUCCAUCCCUGCCUCUGCCAAGAGCGCGAGAAUGGUCGAGUGAAGUGAGGGGGACGGCAAGGCCUGUUGCCAGGCAAGAAACGUUUAUCUUAAAUAAUAACAAGGAUUUGCUCCUUGUCGCGGGGUCUACCCACGAAUGAAAAACCCAGCAAACAUCCCUUUUUCAUUAAAAGCAUCCCAUACAGGUACAAUUCAUACGGAAUGAAAAACAUGAGCAAGGGGAUUACAAGUUCUAAAUUUAACGAAGGCCGCAGGCUUACAAACUAAAAAAGAGAUAAGAUGCCCGUAAUCCCUUUCUUGUCCCUCUCCUCAGGAGGUAGGUCAAGAAGGCUAAAGGGCAAAAGGGGCACCUAGGCGAGCUACGAGCAGCAAAAAGCACCAAGAGAACACCUCGGUGGCUACCCAAGGGUGGGCCGGUGAUGACGGUGCCGGGAAAGGAGCUGGAAGACGAGGCGGCAGGACCGGCAAUAAGCGAUGAAGGCGUCGGUGCCGGCGUACUCCGAGUUGACAGCCUUGCCACCCGCCCUCUUCCUCUUUCGCAGCCUCCCGACGCCAGCCGCCCAAGGAGACGGCCCCGAGAAGUUCAAGGAGCUGGCCCCUCCCCCGGCGAAACCCCGCCGGAGGAGCAGCCAGGUGCAGAUGCUGCUACUGCCGCACCUGCCCAGGCGCGGGGCGUCCGACGCCUAGUCGGACUCGUCCCCAUCAUCCGCCCCGCUGUCCUCCUCGUCACUAUCACUCGAGGAAGAGCUUCCAUCGCCGGAGUCUCCGUCGGAGGAGCUCUCCACGCAGCACUUCAGGCGAGUUCCAAACUCUCCGAAGACCUUGACAGAGAGCAGGCCGUCCUCCAUUAAUUUGAAGUAGAGGACGAGCCCUGCCGUCAGGCUGUGGAUGCGAGUGAACGUCUUCCUUCCGCGGCGCAGGUACAUGACCCGAGGAGCCAGGAAGUCAACAUCGACCCGCGUGCCCCCAUUCCCACAGCCCCUCAUGUGCAACCUGGGGGUCUGGGGCGGGUCACGCCCCAUCACCUGAGCAAACGGGGCGGGGAGACGAAGACGACGACGCGGAGGCCGGCGCAGCCUGAUGAGAACUCGCAGGGCUGGUCUUCAACGUGGCCCUCUAUCCGAAAAGGCAUCAUUGGCGGGGGCGAGGCCGGCUCGCCACCCCGUCCUCCUCUUCCCCGACCACCACGACCUCUGCCACGGCCUCGCCCCCUCCCCCUUCCCCUCGCGGCCGGCUCCACCACCGCGGGCUCAG